CUGGCUGGCUCAAUGUCCCCAUAGCAAAUAAUGGCAAAAAUAUAAAAAACUAAAAUAUUAUUAACUUAAUAAAAUCAUCCACUACAUAAUCAUUUAUUAUCUUUACAAUUAACCAUCUAAAGCUACCACAGUUCUUCAAUCAAAGUAUAUAUCUACAUAUAUAGAGAUAGUACACUUCAUAAUUUCGUCCAUUGUCCCGUAAACCUAGCACGAAAAUUUGAUACCCAGUAUUGUAAGGCAGGUCAUAGAAGCAGUCUUCCUGCACAUAUUUAAAAAUAAUAGCAAGUCAGAAAAUUGAAGCAAAUAGGUCACCAGAGGCACUUAAUACCAAAAUCAAUACACAAAUAAAAUAGAGUUGCUACGUGGUACUAAUGUACACCGUAUUGCUCAUAAGCAGAAAAGGACAAAUAGGCAAUCACAAUAUCAUUUGCUACAAAUCCAAAUAGAAAAAGAACCCUCAGUGCGACUAUAUGAUUACUCUGUUACAAGAAAAAAUUAGAAUCUUAAUCGGUCAUUUCAUGAAUUAAUUUCAGUAAGCAUAGUGAUAAACAUAUUUUCUGUUACAAGACUUGUAGAUUAUUAUUAUAUGUUAACCUCAAGUCAUAAUUCAGUCACAUUCAACAACCACAAGCAUCACACAAUCUUAAAUAACAAUGUUUAGAUUUCUAAUGAGAAAGGACAACAAUUAUGAAAAAGUUAAGGCUAUUAGUCAAUGUGGAAAAACUUUUCUUGAGACGACAAAUUUCCAUACAGUAUAUACCCCAAAGAUGCUAGCUAUAAUCACAGACAUUUGAUUUUAAGAUUAUUAAGUUUUGCAUGCCACACUUGGACAUAUAAAAAAUAAAGUAAAAAUUAAAAAUUGAUGAUUGUUUUUUAACAUUAACUUAUUAAACUUUAUAGACUAGAAUUUACUUUUGAUAAAAAAUUAUUGAAAAGAUAAUAUAUAAAUGUGUCCUACACAAACCUUAUUAUUCAUAAAAAAAUAGUUGACAAAAAGUAAGAAUCUUUUUUUUGGGAUAUAUAUAUAUAUANNNNNNNNNNNNNNNNNNNNNNNNNNNNNNNNNNNNNNNNNNNNNNNNNNNNNNNNNNNNNNNNNNNNNNNNNNNNNNNNNNNNNNNNNNNNNNNNNNNNUGAUGUUGUUGCGGCUGUAAAAGUGCAUCAAAAUUCCAGAAGCUGCAAGAAAACAGAAGGGAUUAAAAUUUUUGAUAUGUUACAAUAAAUUACAACCAACACUUGGUGUAAAGCCCAAAAUAAAAAUAACAAACAAUAGGAUAUUACAAUUUAAGAUCUUUUAGGAGUGUCAACAUAAUAGAAACACCAAUAUUUUUGUCACCCAUGAUAACAUAUGAUAACAUGAGGUUCUUCAAAGAGCCCAACCAUCUUAAAAUGAUCUUAUAACAAACAGUUGUCCAAAAUUUAACUGCCACUAUAUAGAAAACCAUUACACUACCCAAGCAUAACCAGAAGAACUAACCCCAGUCUGCGAAUACAAGAUUAAUUAAUCAAUAUUAAUAAAAAUUUAAAAACUGUUUAGUAAUAUAAUCCUUCAGUAAAUUAUAACUGGGAUAGACACCUCUUCUUUCCCUGAAAUAGACAUUGCUCUUUAUUUGGCAAAUGUGAUAAUGAAGUCCUGGAACACACUCCUGAAGCACUUACAAGUUCCAAUAGCAAUAAAAGUUCUUAUUAUUUAUUUAAAGAACUAUUGCUAGGCAAGCAGACUAGUGCAGCUUCAGCAGUCUCUUACACUAAGUGUUUCUGUAGAAUGCGGGCACCCUACAGGAUAUAUACCAAAAAUAACCAUAAAUUGAUUGUCUGAGAUUAAAUUUAUAAAAGAAAAAAUUGAGCUCAACUCCACAUAAACAUUUGCAAUUACGAAAGCAGGGAUGAUGUGGUUUAGGAAACAAUUUUGGGAAAAAUACUUAUAUGCCCUUCAUAAAAAAAUAAAUCUACAUAAAAACAAACGAGGGCACACUAUAGAACCUAACCAAAAUAUAUAAAAAAUUUCAGGAACUAACUUUUUCUACAUCCCUUAAAUUUGGCAGGCUUGCAAUCUACUGGAAAGCUAAACACGCCCAAAAUAGAAAGCAGCUAUAUAUACAAUAUCUGACAAAAUAUAACAUCAAUAAACCCCAACUUUUAACUUAAAUUCUACCAAAAACUAAUAGUCAUGCCAGAUAAUUAUUCACAAAGGAUCACAGGUAGCGUAAUUUUAGAAACAAUUUUUGACAACACCUAGUCUCCAGAUCUAGACCAACAAACUCCCUUGAAAGAUUAAAAUAUUACUUUUUUAAAAUUAAAAAAAAAUCUAGAGAACAUAUGACGUAUUUCUUAAAAACAAGAAUCCAACUUUAACAUCUGUUGAAUUUCUAAACAUGUUGCAACAUAAACAACACCAUCGAAAACCGUGAAUUGAACUUGACAAAAAAGAAAAACCCGAUCUGCAUGAUAUAUAGAUAUGAGAGACAGAAAAAAAAUCUAAAUUAAAACAGCUCCAAUGAAGCAAAUCAUAUACAGAUUAAGAACCCAGAAAAAAUAAGAGAAAAAAUUACCUAACCAACAAUGAUCAGAUACAGAUACAGAAACAAAAGUAAAUAUAUAUAAAUAGAUAUGUAUAAAUAAAGGGGGAGAGAGGAUGAGAAGAGGAUUAUUAUGGUUGGCAUGAAAUUAUUGUGAGAUGAGAGAAUAGGAGAGUAAUUGCCCUUUGAUUCAAGAAGAAAAAGAAGACGACGACUAAUGCGACCAAGAUGAGGGUUUGUGUCGUCGUAUAGCAGUAGUCAAAGAUAAUGAAAAAUUCAAAAACAAACAUACAACUUGAAGCUCGAAGUCUCAUGUCCAUGGAAGCUCAAAUAUUAAGUAUUUGAAAAGUACCAACAAUAAAGACCUAAAGAACCCUUGCCUUCAUUUUUACCCUCCAAUUUACUACAGAUUAUCAACUUAGCACAAAAUCGGGUCCAAAUAAAAUAUCAAACAUCCAAAAAAAAUAGUCAUAGUGGGUACACAUUUCUCAACAGCAAGAUUUAGUUUCAUUAAACACUUGUAAAAAGAAACACUUUUCUUGUUCAUCAUUCAGAAAGUAGUAACAGAAACUAACCAAAAAGAAUAUAAAUUAAAAAAAAUCAAUGAAAUUGAGAAAUUUAAAGAUCCCCUUCUCUUCUUUCCCUCUCUUUUUUCAUUUUUAAUAAGAAAUUAGAAUUUUAUAAAUGAGGAAGAGAGUGACAGUUCACAAUUAAUUAUUUCUUAUAAUAUUUGAGCAAGCAAACGAGCUCAAAGCUGCUGUUUAUCUAGAAUGCUAUUUUUCCCCCAAAUCUAUCCAUAUUCAGAUAAUCUAUAACAGAGUGUAACUCAAAUAAUCAUCACUCACAGAAAACUAUCUAACUCAAAAAUAGCAUCAUAAUUAAAUUACACAAACCCAUAAAAGUUGAUUCAAACCAUGUCUCAAGGCUUCUGUGCAGAAAACAUAAUGAAGGAUUGUUGAAUUGUGCUUGUGUAGUUGAUCAGACCACAUGAUGAGCACAAAUCUUCAAUCUCCUCCGCUGUCAAAUAGUUGUAAUCUCGCAGGACCCUCUGACGGAAAAAAUUACAUAUAUCAAGACUAAGAUGAUAAUCUUUAAGUAAAAGCCAAUUGAGCUAGGAGACAGGCUGCUUAUUAUUUUAAAUCUUUUAAUCCUACUACAAUAGCUCUAUCCGGUGUCAUACUGUCAAUCAUUCAACUUGGGAUAUCCAAGAAAUCGAUAUUUUUGUGGAAGAUGUAGUAGUUGGCAAUGCAUUACACCACAAUGUGUUUCUAAAGUACCAUUUAUCAAAACCACAAACUCCAUUCAAUUUAAGCAUCUGGAUAUUAAUAAGUAUAAGAUGAGUGCAGAAAGCAAAGAAGGAAAGAAAUUUAAACAUCAAAAGGUGCAUAUAAAGUAAAGACUAACUCAGACUUGCAGUCUCAUGAUAGGAUUACGAUCAUGAACAAUCACAAAAACUGGCAUUAGUUUACACUUGUUACAAUUUAAAUGUUAUUAAUUCCAUGCCAUAAGACACAACAUAAUUGCCCAUAAUGGAGAAAAUGGCUUCCUUGCAAACAACCUAAAUAUUCAUCACAAACACCACAAACAAAAAAUAAAUAUAAAAACAAACAUAAAUUGAAUAGCAGAUAUUAAUACUACCUCCGUCCCACAAUAAGUGCUUUUUUAGGCUUAAUAUUUUUUUCCAAAAUAAGUGAUGUGUUAGAACUCCAAUACAAUUUUUGCAAUAUUUUCUCAUAUAUGCCCUUAUGCAUUCAAUGGUAUUUAUUGCAUCUUACCAUCACUAUAAUUAAAUGACACUCAUUAACUCUUCAACUUCAAAGAAAAUAUAUUAAGGGUAUUUUUGCCAUUUUAGCUUGUGUAUCGGUAUGUGUGAUUUAAGCUAAAAAAACACUUAUUAUGGGACGGAGGUAGUAUUUCAUUAGAAUAAACUUGAGACAAAGAGAGAAACCAAAUAAUAUUUCCAUAACAUAUAAUUGUACCAAUAACAACUAUAAUGGCCAUACUCAAGGGCCAAGAAUAUAACCAGAAUAUGAAAAUAUCAUCAAAAACUGUAAAAUCAUCAAGCACUACUAAAAAAUAAAAAUAAAAAUAAAGCCCUAAACAGUAAAUACACAUAUAUAGACAAAUCCACAUAAGUAGAGAUAAAUUCAUUGACUAACGCUCAAAAUAAACUCAGUUUAUAUACCAUCCGAGCCCAAUUGGUAGAAAAAUUACCUCAAAAAUUUUUGGAGUCGGCGACUGGCGAGUGAAGAGACGACUGAAUCCUUUGAAGAGAAACGAGAAAUUAGAAACUACUGAAGAGAAUUCAGAAGAUGGAUCAGUGACAGUGGCCGUUGGGAGAGGAUGGAUCGGAGAUGGUUGGCAUGCAUAGAAUGGUUCGAGCUUUCGAGGAUGGGUCUGAGAUCUAUUUGGGGGAAUGAACUAAAACUUUGAAAGGAUAAGAAAAUUGAAAUAUUAUUUAUGUAACCGGUCCAACUGGCUCGGUUGUAUAUGUAAAUAAAUUUGUACAAUAUGAUGAUUUAAGCUAUAUUUUGUAUAUAAUGAGUUUUAUACUAUUUACAUAUAGUCAAGUGUUACGUGUUGGUAUAUUUAAAAAAUGUACAUGAAUAAUUUUGAGUGCUUAAGUUAAAUAAUUUUAUGGAAUUUCAAAAAAUAAGAGUUUGUUUUUUUAUAUGUGGGUGUUCUAAAAGAUUUUUAUGUUGAAUCAAUCAUUAUAUGAAUAACUAAUAUAUAAAAUGUAGAACUUUUUUUUUGUUCUAAGAAGCGUUACUUAAUAUUCUGAACAUACGUGUAGCUCAAUUGGUUUGAGUAUUUGUUUAAAGAGUGGGGGAGGUUAAGAGUUCAAUUCUCAAAAAAAACAUUAUUAUUAUUCUUAUUCUUAUUAUUAUUAUUAUUAUUAUUAUUAUUAUUAUUAUUAUUAUUAUUAUUAUUAUUAUUAUUAUUAUUAUCAAUACUACUACUACUAUUAUUAUUAUUAUUAUUAUUAUUAUUAUUAUUAUUAUUAUUAUUAUUAUUAUUAUUAUUAGUACUACUAUUAUUAUCGUUAGUACUACUAUUAUUAUUAGUAUUACUGUUAUUAUUAUUAUUAUUAUUAUUAUUAUUAUUAUUAUUAUUAUUAUUAUUAUUAUUAUUAUUAUUAUUAUUAGUACUAUUAUUAUUAUUAUGACUGUUAUUAUUAUUAUUAUUAUUAUUAUUAUUGUUGUUAUUAUUAUUAUUAGUACAAUUAUUAUUAUUAUUAUUAUUAUUACUUUUAAUGUUAUUAUUAUUAUUAAUACUACUACUACUACUACUACUACUAUUAUUAUUAUUAUUAUUAUUAUUAUUAUUAUUAUUAUUAUUAUUAUUAUUAUUAUUAUUAUUAUUAUUAUUAUUAUUACUUUAAUUUAAGGUAACAUGUUAAUAGUCGUUGAAAAAAGUUGUAUAAAAUAUGCAACGAAAAUAAAUUUUGUUGCCAAUGAAUGUGGUCCAUAUUAGGCAACGAAAUAUAGCAACAAAAAAACUUUCGUAUCCUACGAUGAGGAGAAAUCAAGUGGUUAGAAAUUUUGCAACGAAUUUCUAAUGAAUUUUGUUUCCAAAUUUUGUAACUACUUAUGAAUUUGGUUGCAAAAAGUGAAAGCCUGACACAAUCUGCAACGAAUGACAAGUUUCGUUGUUAAACAUACACUUUUAGCAACGACUUAUAAAGUCGUUUCUUGAAAAAUCGUUGCUGAAGACCCAUUUUUAGCAACAAAAAAACUUUCGUUGCCCACGAUGACGAGAAAUCAAGUGGCUGAAAAUUUUGCAACGAAUUUCUAACAAAAUUUUUUCCCGCCAAUGAAUUAGCAACGAAAUUUUUCAAUGACUUAUGAAAUUUGUUGCAAAAAUUGAAAGCCUUACACAAUCUGCAACGAAGGACAAAUUUCGUUGCUAAACAUAUACUUUUAGCAACGACUUAUAAAGUCGUUGCCCGAAAAAUCGUUGCUAAAGGCCCAUUUUUUUGUAGUGAAUUUGAUUGGAUACAAAAAGGUUUUAUCAUAUUCAACGAUAUUUCUAAAUUUGUGUCUAGCUGGUCAAAUAGCUUAGACGACUCUUUGUUAUUGUAUACAUACUUGGAUCAAUAGGUAUAUAUAUAUAUAUAUAUAUAUCAACAUGUGAUUAAAUACAAUGAUUAUCCAAGUGGGGACACUUGAAUAACCAUAUUUAGAAACUAACGAACAGAAUAUAUAUAUCUGAAUUACCAUAUAGUACCAGGUUGAUAAUCAAUGAUCGGAUAUAACAUAUAUAACAAUAGGGUUAAUAAUCUAGUACAAUAAUAAUAUAGUUCUGAAAUAUUCUUAUUUAUGUCCAUUGCAUAAAGAAAAUGCAAAGGUAAGAUACUUGCCUAAUACGCUGCUUACAAUACGCAACUUAGUUUUUAUCUUUCGUAUAACAACAUGUCAGUAAUAAGAUCAUUUUACUUAUUAGAAUAACAUAUUGUAACACAUAAUACUACCUAUUGCAGUCAGCACAUAACCUAAUCACCUUGUCACACAUAUUCCACAGUCAUUGAAUCACAAACAAUCAUUAAUACAGUCAAAAUAUCUAACUCCAAAUCAAUUUCUGAAACAUGUCGGUGUACCAACGACUUUAUCGGGUAAUUAUCGAGUCUAAGACUCUAUUGUGUAGUUCAAUAGUCGUUUAGAUAUUUUAAAUAUCAGUCAUAUUAUUUUUCAUAGCCUUAUAAUAAUUUUUAAAUAAUUAUUAUAAUUUAUCAUAAAUUUUCAAACACUAAAAUCAUUAUUUAAUGAUUUAAAUAUUAAUUAAUUCUAUUAUCAUUAAUAUUUAAUUAAUAUUACACUAUUAAUGAAACUAUUGCCAAAAUAUUAAAGUUAUUUAUAAUAACUCAAAAUAUUUUUAAAGUAUUAAUAUUACCCUUAAAUAAUUUUUAAAAUAUUUAAAAUCAUUUUUAAAUAAUUACCAUUAAUAUUAGAAUAUUAAUUUAUUAUUUAUCAAAAUAUUAGAAGUCAUUAAUUAUAACUUAAAAUAUUUUUAAUUCAUUGAUUUCCUUUUAAAUUAUUUUUAAUUCAAUAAAACCAUUUUAAAACUAUUUAGUUAAUAUAAUUAUUAAAUAAACUUAAUAUCAUUAAUAUUAAAUUAUUAAUGAAAUUUAUCUUUAAAUAUCAAAAGUUAUAUUUUAUAAUUUAAAAUAUUUUUAAACUAUUUAUUUUCAUUUAAAAUGAUUUUUAUAAUAUUAAAAUCAUUUUUAAUUAAUUUAUUUAAUACAUUUAUUAAAUAAUUUAAAUACCAAUAAUAUCCAAAUAAAUAUUAAUAUUUAUGAAAAAUAUGUCAAAUUAUUAAAAGUUAAUUUUUAUAACUUAAAAUAAUUUUUAAAACUAUUUUUGUAAUUUUCAGAAUUUAUUUACUAUUUAUAAAUGAUUUUUAGAAAUUAAAUUAAUUAAUUUUACUAAGUCUGUCGUUAAAGCCCUUUGGCGACAGUAAGUGUCGCCUUAGGUGUUCUUGAGAAACCCAGGUGUAUAAAGUCAGUGUUCGAGUGAGCUUGUUUGACCAUCAAUAAUUCUCUGUAUGAGUUGCUUCUGGACAUGAUAUUGAUUAAAUGUUGUAGUAAGUAUGCAAGAGUACAAUUUCAUAACAAUUCCUGGACCAAAUCAUAAAACAUGACGGAGAUCUAAGCAUCAGAACAUGUUGUCAGAGCUGUUCUUCACAUUUCUGGGCUGCCCAGAAAUUCCAGUCAUGGCCGGUCAACGGUAUUGAUGACCUUAUAAAAUUAAUUCUGUUGAAGAUAUGGGUGGUAUACACGUCGGGAUGUGUAGAGUAACUAACAUAGAACUUGAUUCAAACCAUGUUCAAGUCUAAACAUAAUUAAUCAAAAAGAUCUGAGCUAGCAAACAUGUUGUCAGAGUGUUUCUGGGUUUUUCCCAGAAACCCAGCAGUUCGACCUAUCACUUUGAUGCUCGAAUUCCUUUAUGUUCUGGUCAUGAUUUAUAUCGUUUAAUUGGUCAAAUCUAUAGUAUACAUGACAAGGAACAUUAUGAUAACAACAAAUCAAUAAAUCAACAUCACAGUUAAAAGAUCUAAUUCGGUCAACCUAUGUCAGAAAGUUAUUCUUCAUAUUUCUGGAAAUUCCAAGAAAUGCAAGUCAUGAUCGAAUGAUCAAGUUUGACCGAACACUACAUUUGAUUAGUUGAUUUCUUAAAGGAUCUAAAGUCACAAAUAUAUAAUAUAUAUGACAAACUAUAAACUGGAUACAAACACAUCAUAUCAUCAAAUAAUUUAUAAACUGACAGAUCUAAGCCUUCCAAAACAUUGUCAGACGCUAAAAAAGCUUUCUGGGUUGCCCAGAUUCAUACUCGGUCAUGGUUAGUCAACGACCUUUAACCAUCAAUAACUUUCGAUCUAGAAAUCCAAUGACAUGGCUUUCACUUUCAGAUGAAAGACCUCAUAUCAGACUAUAGAUCCAAACCAUAAAACAACAAAAAUAUUAAACAUCAAAGAAUCUAUAGCCUCUGACAUUCGUUGUCAGAACAUAAAGUAAAAUUUUUCCAGAUUUUGAAAAAUGACAAAUCUGAGCCUCUAGAUGUUAUGGAUCUAACAUCUAGUAACCCAUAUCACUUAAAUAAACUACAAACAACAUGUUUUAACAUUAAAUCAUAACAUCUAACACAAGAUCAAAAGUCAAAUUUCUAGAUUAGGGUUUACCUCUUUAUGAUCAAAUUCUGAUUUCUAUGCUUCUGAUUUGAUGUUGGUGUUCGUGGGGCUUGAUUUGUGACUGAUCUAACACUAGAAUUUCGUGGGUUUGAGCUUGAGAGAAUAUGGCUAAGUGUAAGUGAUCAAAUUAGGCUAAAUGUGCACUUUCUCUCUCUUGAAUCUAACAAAUGAAUUGAUGCAAUGAACUUGUAUAUGAUAGUAGCUGAUCAUGUGUUGGUGAUGUAGCUAACAACUAGGUAGUGUACGGUGGUUGGCCAAGAUUUGAAAAGAUUUAGCUAGCAAUAAUACACCAAAUAGGACAAAAAGGGUAAAAUGAUAAUUUCACAAACAAUUCAAAGGGUAUUUUUGUCCAAGGUACUUGAAUCUAGGGUUUAAUCACUAGAUUUUACAUCUUAAAGUUUCCCAAAUAAUUACUAGUGUUUGAAAAAUUAAAAUUAAAGUGUAAUAAAAUUUUAAUUAAAACACACUUAUUAAAAUUAUGGGUUUUAAUAGAAAAUUAGGGUUUAAAUAUUAGGGUUCCUUAAUAUUAUUAAGGUUCCUAAUUUAACAAUUAGAGUUUCCUAAUUAACAUUAUAAUUUACUAAAAUAGUCAUUAGGGUUUCUAAUUUGGCAAAAAACACAUUUACCCGCCUGUGAUCGUCGACUUGUAAGCAAUUGGCCACUGAACUUUAAAAAUAUGCAAUUGGACCACUGUGCUUUUUAAAACUGAAAAUUCAGGCCAUUCCGUCCAAUUUCUUGGACGGAAGUCAAAUAAUUAUACACGUGGCAUUAAAAAAAAAAUCAAAAUAUUAUUAUUUUCGUAUAUGGCAAUACAAAAAAAAAUCAUUGAUUAUGUGGUAAAAAAUGAUUAAAAUAAUAAUAAAAUUAAAAUAAAUAAUAAUUAAUUCGUUUUAAAAUAAAAUAAUUCAUUUUAAAAUAAAAUAAUUAAUUUUAAAAAUAAAAUAAUUAAUUUUAAAAUAAAAUAAUUAAAAUAAUAAAAUGGAAUUAAUGAUUAAUAAUUAAUCAUUAACUUGUAAAAUGAUUAUUUUAUUUUUAUUUUAAAAAUUAAUUAUUAAUCAUUCCGGUUAAAAAUAUCAUUAACUUGUAAAAAAAAUCAUUUUAGCCACAUAAAAAAAAUUCUGUUUUUGUUUUUAAAAAAUUUUGUUUUUAAAAACAAAAACAGAUUUUUUUUUUAACUUGUAAAAUAAAAUUUUUAAAAAACCAAAACAGAAUUUUUUUUAACUUGUAAAAUAAAAUUCUGUUUUAAAAAAAAAAUUGUUUUUACAAAAUUCUGUUUUAAAAAUAAUUAUAUUUUUAAAAACAAAAAUAGAAUUUUUUUAUGAUUAUUUUAAAAUUAAUUAUUUAUUUUUUAUUUUAAAAUGAAUUAAUUAUUAUUUAUUUAAAAUUUAUUAUUAUUUUAAUCAAUUUUUUGCCACAUAAUCAAUGAUUUUAUUUUUGAUUUUUUUGUAUUGCCACAUAAGAAAAUAAUAAUAUUUUGAUUUUUUUUUAAUGCACGUGUGUAAUUAUUUGACUUCCGUCCAAGAAAUUGGACGGAAUGACCUGAAUUUUCAGUUUUAAAAAGCACAGUGGUCCAAUUGCAUAUUGUUAAAGUUCAGUGACCAAUUGUUUACAAGUCGACAACCACAGGCGGGUAAAGGUGCUUUUUGCCUUUCUAAUUUUAGCAAAUUAGGGUUUUCAAAUAAUAAUUAGGGUUCCUCCUAAUUACAAAAAUUCUAUAAUACGCAAUAAAAUUCAUAUACACAAUUACUACUCAGUCUUAAACUCAUAACUGAGUUUAACAAUUAGGGUUUAAUAACAUGAUAUAAGGGUUAUGACAUAAUUUACCAUAAUUGACCAACCAUUAUCAGUCUACACAUUUACAGUACAUAUUUAUAGCACUGAAAAAUUAAAAUAUAAUUAAUAUUAUAUUAUUAUUCUCAUCCCUCGAUCAAAACCCAAAGUUAGGGUUUGGAUCCCAUAACUGGUUUUAUCUUUCAUAUACAACAUUAUUAAUUAAGUUAAAAUACUUAAUCUUAAUAAUCUGAACAAAAUUCAGAUAAUAAAAUAGUAAUUACAAUAAUUCCAAUAAUCAUUUCAUAUAUUAUGUAAAUAAUAUAAAAAAUUGUAUUUUCAUAGAAAAUAAAUAAUAAAGACAUUUCUACUAUAAAAUUAAUUAUUAUAAGUAUAUACCUUAUAAUGAGCAAUAAUUUUAAAAUAAAAUUAUUUGAAAUUAUUCAUGUAAUAAAUAAAUUUUAUUUAUCACAUAUAUACAUACACAUUACUUGGCACAUAUUCUCAUCUUUAAAAAAAAAAUAUGCAAAAUUUCUUAUUUAUUUAUAUAGAAAAUAUUCAGGUUAUUACAUUCACCCUCCCUUAUAAGGAUUCCGUCCGCGGAAUCACCGUUUUAAAACCUAUACAUACACGGGUACAUAGCAUACACAAUCAUUGCAAUUAGAUCUCGAUCAUAAUUGAUCGAACCGAUCUUUAACUAUUCAGCAUAAAGCUUAUCUAUCUUUUUAAACAGAAAUUUGAUUUUUGAAAGAACUCAACUUCCUCCUUCAAAAUAAUUUAUAAAAUAAUUUACUAUAUAUAAGAAAAUAAUAUAUAAGAAAUAAAUUUUAUUUGAAUAACACCUGGAGUUGCAUCCUCGGCUGCUACCGAAUCCUGAACAGUCAUGUUGUAGACUCUUGCGGUUGAUUCUGUUGGUUCGUUUGUUGAAGUUGGUCCCGUUGUCGCCAAUGUCCUGUUGCCUUCUUCCGUAUUCGCAUUCCUUGCCUCCUUUCUCCUUCUUGGACAGUCUUUCAUCUUAUGCUCCAUUGAUUCACAAUUAAAACACCCCCUAUACAUUCGUGGAUUGGGGCAGUUAGGAGAGAUAUGUCCCUCCUGCCCGCACUUGUAACACACAACUUACCCUUUAUCUUCUUUCUUUUUUUCUAGUCCUACUACCUCUACUCCCUUUUCCAGUUUUAGCUUGAUUUUUCCUUCCACCAAAAAUUCGCUUUCCCCCUUUCAUCGUAUAGGUGACAAAAGCUGUCUUUUGCCCCUCCAUUAUCCUAGCUAUCACAAACUCUUCUACCGGGUCAGUUGAUCUUCUAAAUUCUGGCAGUACGAUUUCCAUGAAGUCUUUGAUGUUUGUUGAUCGAUUACUUGGCUGAUUUCCCGCGGCUUAUAUUUCGUUCUGCAUAGCUUGAGCGUCCAUAUUCGCAAAAUUCUAUAUCGGGUCUAGUUGACCUCCAACUUUGUUAACCGGUUCUUCUAUCCUUGUUCGUUUUCAUCUUGGUGGCAUUAUCAUAAAUUAUUCUUUAUUAACUUACAUUCUAAGCCUUAUCGUAUACGCUUAACAUAUAACGCAAAAUUUUCUAUUCAAAUAGUCAUGUACUCAAAAUAAUAGAUUUUGAAAGUUGGGUUUACUGUAUUAACCAGUGUUCAGAUAAAUAUCUACUAUCUUUAUACCAACUUAUUUCAUUAAUCCAUCGUAGACUCCUAUUCAUAACACUUGACAUACCAUAACACAUUUUGCUUUAAUCAUCCGCUAUCCCUUUUUGUGACUUAAAAGUUGGGAAUCGCUAUUUUGUAAAUAUUACCUUAUACAGACCUACUUAUCAUAUACACAACAUAGAAUCAUACCUAGUCAAGUAAUACUUAUACUACUUAUCUUCUACACAUUCGCUAAGGAUCAAUUGCUUAGUAUUUUAUAUAUUCCCAUUAUCCUCGAUAAUCCAUUCACAUAUAACUAUAUUAGUCCUCCUUGUAGCCAUUUCGUAUUCGUUUGAUUAUUGAGUUUCUAGAGGUCAAGGGUUCAAGGGCUGGUGAGGAAAUGGAGUAGUAAUUCAAGAAGGAUAUGAGGUAUUCUAAAAUACUUCCCUUUUUUCUUACCACACAUUAUGAGUAUAAGAACUUACCACAAUCAUAAGAGUUUAAGAACUCGAGCUUAAUCUUAUAUUCUGUAACUAUACUCUACCUAUCAGUUAUACUAUCGUUUCUGGGUACGGUACUGCACUUUCUAAGAUAAUCACCUCGUUGAGGUAGCUUUCAAUAUGAGCCUCUAUUUCAGCUAUUGGCUUUGAUAUUGGCUCGAUUAUGGAGGUUGACUCCUUCUAUACGACCUGAGCGUAUCCUAAUCCUUAUCUCACAUAACAUCUACACACUAACUAUCUUGAUUAACAAAGAAUAUAUACACACGACAAAUAAUAGUUUUAUACAAGUUAUCUUUUAUUUUGUUUGACAAUGAAUUUAUUCAAUUUAUCUUCUUUAAAACUCUAUUUGAGUUAUUUGUAUUUUCAACGUUUCCCCUUGUCCCAAGGUUAUAGCCUAAGGUCUAUCCCACCUAAGGUUUCUAAUCCUAAAGCUCUGAUACCAUGUUGUGACGCCCCCAAAUUCAGGUACUUGAAACCCGAACUCGGUGCCUCACGAUACCAUUUCUAUGAGCGGAAUAAUACUAAUAAUGAUAACAAUAAUAUACGUAUCAAACUUAUCUUACAUUUAUCAGAGUCUAAUCCUAAGUACGCAACCUUUACUACAAUAUAUUACAUGAUAGAUAAUAAACAUCACGGUCUAUAUAUUGUCUAAUUAUUACAAAAGAUACCAAUAAACAUAUCCUGUUUGCUUUCCUCUUUCCAUUGUUCUUGGCCGAACCUUCUAGCUGUUCACACUUAGUUGAAAACAUUUAAAUUAAGCAAGGAUGAGCAUUUGAGUGCCCAGCAAGUAAUAACAUUUAUAAAUAUAAUUAGCUGAAAGGAUUAAAUGUUUUCUUUGUACUACCCUUCUACAACAAAUCAAAAGUUGUGAAGUAAUCUGGACUGAUAAUAAUAACAUAACAACUCUUUAUCAAAUUUUUGAAACUACGUACUGACUAUAAAUGGGGUUAAGGUGACAUACUAUGAACAUUGUUUUUCAUUUUCGCUAAGGUUUAGCAGAACUUCAUCCGCAAACCGUCAUAACUUACGGACACGAGGGUGAUCUGCUCAAUUUGCCAUGUAUUGAUCAAUACUAUAUGCAAUAACGAUAUUAUCGUUCACUCUGUCUGCCUUGGGCGCAUAAAAGUUUUUCCAUAUUCGGGAUGUUCAUACUUAGUCUAGAAUCCGAACCAAAACAAUUUGAUUGGAUAUAAAAAGGUUUUAUCAUAUUCAACGAUAUUUCUAAAUUUGUGUCUAGCUGGUCAAAUAGCUUAGACGACUCUUUGUUAUCGUAUACAUACUGGGAUCAAUAAGUAUAUAUAUAUAUAUAUAUAUAUAUAUAUAUAUAUAUAUAUCAACAUAUAAUUAAAUACAAAGAUUAUCCAAGUGGGGACACUUGAAUAACCAUAUUUAGAAACUAACGAACAAAAUAUAUAUAUCUGAAUUACCAUAUAGUACCAUGUUGAUAAUCAAUGAUUGGAUAUAACAUAUUUAACAAUAGGGUUAAUAAUCUAGUACAAUAAUAAUAUAGUUCUGAAACAUUCUUACUCAUGUUCAUUGCAUAAAGAAAAUGCAAAGGUAAGAUAUUUGCCUGAUACGCUGCUUACAAUAUGCAACUUAGUUUUUAUCUUUCGUAUAACAACCUAUUAGUAAUAAGAUCAUUUUACUGAUUAAAAUAACAUAUUGUAACACAUAAUACUGCCUAUUGCAGUCAGCACAUAACCUAAUCACCUUGUCACACAUAUUCCACAGUCAUUGAAUCACAAACAAUCAUUAAUACAGUCAAAAUAUCCAAGUCCAAAUCAAUUUCUGAAAUAUGUCGGUGUACCGGCGGCUUUAUCGAGUAAUUAUCGAGUCUAAGACUCUAUUGUGUAGUUCAAUAGUCGUUUAGAUAUUUUAAAUAUCAGUCAUAUUAUUUUUCAUAGCCUUAUAAUAAUUUUUAAAUAAUUAUUAUAAUUUAUCAUAAAUUUUCAAACACUAAAAUCAUUAUUUAAUGAUUUAAAUAUUAACUAAUUCUAUUAUCAUUAAUAUUUAAUUAAUAUUAAACUAUUAAUGAAACUAUUGCCAAAAUAUUAAAGUUAUUUAUAAUAACUCAAAAUAUUUUUAAAGUAUUAAUAUUACCCUUAAAUGAUUUUUAAAAUAUUUAAAAUUAUUUUUAAAUAAUUACCAUUAAUAUUAGAAUAUUAAUUUAUUAUGUAUCAAAAUAUUAGAAGUCAUUAAUUAUAACUUAAAAUAUUUUUAAUUCAUAUAUUUCCUUUUUAAAUGAUUUUUAAUUCAAUAAAACCAUUUUAAAACUAUUUAUUUAAUAUAAUUAUUAAAUAAACUUAAUAUCAUUAAUAUUAAAUUAUUAAUGAAAUUUAUCUUUAAAUAUCAAAAGUUAUAUUUUAUAACUUAAAAUAUUUUUAAACUAUUUAUUAUCAUUUAAAAUGAUUUUUAUAAUAUUAAAAUUAUUUUUCAUUAAUUUAUUUAAUAUAAUUACUAAAUAAAUCUAAUAUCAUUAAUAUUUAAUAAUUAAUGAGACUUAUCUUAAAAUAUUAAAAGUUAUGUUUUAUAACUUAAAAUAUUAUUAAAUACCUUNNNNNNNNNNNNNNNNNNNNNNNNNNNNNNNNNNNNNNNNNNNNNNNNNNNNNNNNNNNNNNNNNNNNNNNNNNNNNNNNNNNNNNNNNNNNNNNNNNNNUUAAAUAAUUUAAAUACCAAUAAUAUCCAAAUAAAUAUUAAUAUUUAUGAAAAAUAUGUCAAAUUAUUAAAAGUUAAUUUUUAUAACUUAAAAUAAUUUUUAAAACUAUUUUUGUAUUUUUCAGAAUGUAUUUACUAUUUUUAAAUGAUUUUUAGAAAUUAAAUUAAUUAAUUUUACUAAGUCUGUCGCUAAAGCCCUUUGGCGUCUGUAAGUGUCGCCUUAGGUGUUCUUGAGAAACCCAGGUGUUCAAGGUCAGUGUUCGAGUGAGCUUGUUUGACCAUCAAUAAUUCUCUGUAUGAGUUGCUUCUUGACAUGAUAUUGAUUAAAUGUUGUAGUACGUAUGCAAGAGUAAUAUUUCAUAACAAUUCUUGGACCAAAUCAUAAAACACGAGGGAGAUCUAAGCAUCAGAACAUGUUGUCAGAGCUGUUCUUCACAUUUCUGGGCUGCCCAGAAAUUUCAGUCAUGGCUGGUCAACGGUAUUGAUGGCCUUAUAAAAUUAAUUCUGUUGAUGAUAUGGGUGGUAUACACGUUGGGAUGUGUAGAGUAACUAACAUAGAACAUGAUUCAAACCAUGUUCAAGUCUAAACAUAAUUAAUCAAAAAGAUAUGAGCUAGCAAACAUGUUGUCAGAGUGUUUCUGGGUUUUUCCCAGAAACCCAGCAGCUUGACCUAUCACUUUCAUGCUCGAAUUCCUUUAUGUUCUGAUCAUGAUUUAUAUCGUUUAAUGGGUCAAAUCUAUAGUAUACAUGACAAGGAACAUUAUGAUAACAACAAAUCAGUAAAUCAACAUCACAUUUAAAAGAUCUAAUCCGGUCAACCUAUGGCAGAAAGCUGUUCUUCAUAUUUCUGGAAAUUCCCAGAAAUGCAAGUCAUGAUCGGAUGAUCAAGUUUGACCGUCCACUACGUUUGAUUAGUUGAUUUCUUAAAGGAUCUAAAGUCACAAAUAUAUAGUAUAUAUGACAAGCUAUAAACUGGAUGCAAACACAUUAUCAAAUAAUUUAUAAACUGACAGAUCUAAGCCUUCCAAAACAUUGUCAGACGCUGAAAAAGCUUUUUUGGUUGCCCAGAUUCAUACUCGGUCAUGGUCGGUCAACGACCUUUGACCAUCAAUAACUUUCGAUCUAGACAUCCAAUGACACUGCUUUCACUUUUCGAUGAAAGACCUCAUAUCCGACUAUAGAUCCAAACCAUAAAACAACAAAAAUAUUAAACAUCAAAGAAUCUGCAGCCUCUGACAUUCGUUGUCAGAACAUAAAGUAAAAUUUUUCCAGAUUUUGAAAAAUAAUAAAUCCGAGCCUCUAGAUGUUAUGGAUCUAACAUCUAGAAACCCAUAUCACUUAAAUAGACUACAAACAACAUGUUUUAACAUUAAAUCAUAACAUCUAACACAAGAUCAAAAGUCAAAUUUCUAGAUUAGGGUUUACCUCUUUAUGAUCCAAUUCUGAUAUCUAUGCUUCUGAUUUGAUGUUGGUGUUCGUGGGGCUUGAUUUGUGACUGAUCUAACACUAGAAUUUCGUGGGUUUGAGCUUGAGAGAAUAUGGCUUAAGUGUAAGUGAUUAAAUUAGGCUAAAUGUGCACGUUCUCUCUCUUGAAUCUAGCAAAUGAAUUGAUGCAAUGAACUUGUAUAUGCUAGUAGCUGAUCAUGUGCUGGUGAUGUAGCUCACAACUAGGUAGUGUAGGGUGGAUGGCCAAGAUUUGAAAAGAUUUGGCUAGCAAUAAUACACCAAAUGGGACAAAAAGGGUAAAAUGGUAAUUUCACAAAUAAUUCAAAGGGUAUUCUUGUCCAAGGUACUUGAAUCUAGGGUUUAAUCACUAGUUUUUACAUCUUAAAGUUUCCCAAAUAAUUACUAGGGUUUUAAAAAUUAAAAUUAAAGUGUAAUAAAAUUUUAAUAAAAACACACUUAUUAAAAUUAGGGUUUUUAAUAGAAAAUUAGGGUUUAAAUAUUAGGGUUCCUUAAUAUUAUUAGGGUUACUAAAUUAACAAUUAGGGUUUCCUAAUUAACAUUAUAAUUUACUAAAAUAGUAAUUAGGGUUUCUAAUUUUAGCAAAUUAGGGUUUUCAAAUAAUAAUCAGGGUUCCUCCUAAUUACAGAAAUUCUAUAAUACACAAUAAAAUUCAUAUACACAAUUACUAGUCUGUCUUAAACUGAUAACUGAGUUUAACAAUUAGGGUUUAAUAACCCGAUAUAAGGGUUAUGACAUAAUUUACCAUAAUUAACCAACCAUUAUCAGUCUACACAUUUACAGUACAUAUUUAUAGCACUAAAGAAUUAAAAUAUAAUUAAUAUUAUAUUAUUAUUCUCAUCCCUCGAUCAAAACCCAAAGUUAGGGUUUGGAUCCCAUAUCUGGUUUUAUCUUUCAUAUACAACAUUAUUAAUUAAGUUAAAAUACUUAAUCUUAAUAAUCUGAACAAAAUUCAGAUAAUAAAAUAGUAAUUACAAUAAUUCCAAUAAUUAUUUCAUAUAUUAUGUAAAUAAUAUAAAAAAUUGUAUUUUCAUAGAAAAUAAAUAAUAAAGACAUUUCUAUUAUAAAAUUAAUUAUUAUAAAUAUAUACCUUAUAAUGAGCAAUAAUUCUAAAAUAAAAUUAUUUGAAAUUAUUCAUGUAGUAAAUAAAUUUUAUUUAUCACAUAUAUACAUACACAUUACUUGGCACAUAUUCUCAUCUUUAAAAUAAAUAAAAAAUUAAUAUGCAAAAUUUCUUAUUUAUUUAUAUAGAAAAUAUUCAGGUUAUUACAAUAGCUAUGCUCGACAUUCUGAGGAUUUCACCAUACGAGAGGACCAAUGGCAUUUGGCCAGAGUGGAUGCAUUCUUAAUGUGCAUAGCGGCGUAUGUGUUCAUGCCACGAUAUAUGGAUGAGCUGGAUAUCGGUGUUAUCAUGGCAGUGAGAGCUCUCAGGGAGGGUCAUACCAUUAUCUCAAUGAUUGUGGCGGAGACGCUGAGGUCGACCACGUUUUGCAGCACUUACCUUGCAGAGGUAUUUACAGGCAGUUCGAUUAUGUUGUACUUGUGGUUUAUGUUACACUUGGGACCAAUUGGGACCUUCUGCCAACACGAGUAUUGCUUCACCCAUGAUAUAGUUAUGUCUUACUCCUUUCAGCCAUCGGAGUGUACAUACGCUAUGUCUUGGUCGAUGUUCUUGGCGGAUAUCAGAGAUCCCUUUGGCAUUCUGCCGUACACAGGGCUUAGUUCACCCUACAGCUUAAUUACUUAUGCUCCGGGCAUGGACUAUCUCUCCCUGGCUGGUUUGAGGGGCAUGACUACCUAUCACCUGCUAGCUGUGAUGUCACAGUUUGACCAGUUUUAAGACUUCCAUCCUUUCGAGGGGGCGCUAGGUCAGUGUUUAACUUCUCGCCAUCUAUCAGCAGAGGACCGAUCCCGGGUGUAUGCAUGUUGGGAUCAGCGUGAGAUAGCUGCUUUCUCUAUUAGCCAUCCGGGCUGUUCGUUAGAGUAUUCGGCGUGGAUGGAGACAAAGACUUCAUCGGCUGCGGCAGUAUCCAUAGUGCCGGAUAUUGAUUCAGACGAUGGAGAGUCCAUGGAGGACAUUGAUUCUCACAUCGAUGAGGAUCCAUUUACUGGGUUGCCAGCAUCUCCUUUGGAUUCUCCCAGUACUAGCACUAUUGUGAUCCAGCACUCGGCACAAUAUUUUGAGCAGAGUCUUCAUCUAAUGACCUUCAAGAGAGAUCAGGCUAGAGCCUUGAUAUUGAUAGCCCUUGAUGGGAGAGACGUAGCUCUGUCAGAGAGGGAUGAGGCAUUAGCUCGUAGAGAUGCCGCUGUUGUUGAGCGGGAUGAGGCCAGAUCAGCCAGAGAUGUCGUGUCAGUUGAAAGGGAUAUUGCCAUAUCUGUUCGGGAUGUAGCCAUCAUAGAUAGUACUACAUUGAGAUCCCUUACCACUGGCAUAAUUGUAGAGAUGAGCACCUGGUGUAAGAGGUUCAACAUUGUAUGUGGCAUAAAGGGUGUAGGAGUGUUUUUGUUGUUUUUGUUUUUGUAAGGAGAAGGGUGUAAGAAAUGUUUUUAUUGUUUUUGUUUUAUUGCGACCGGGCCAUAUAGAAUGGUUGCCUACGUACUCCUAUUGAAGAGGAGAUCAGGUCGACGUAGUUCGCCCCUCAGGAUGAUUCGCAGCCGAAGAGAAGUAUGAAUCCCAUGUACAGAUUAUACUACGGGGAGAAGAAAGUUUGAUCCCAUGAUUGGGACAAACUGCAGGUGUAAAAAAGUUUGAUCCCGUUUUCAAGACAAAUUGCAAGCGUAGAAAAGUUUAAUUCCGUCUUCAAGAUAAACUGCAAGUGUGAAAGGUUCAAUCCCUGGGGGGAUAACCAAACUCGUAUGAACGGAAUGAAGCCAGGCUACUGGCUUGAAGAGUAUGUUUCCUUGAGGGGCAAAGUGUGAAAAAGAGUUGUAUGUAGUGAAGGGUUAAAGAACCGGAAUGACUGGUGAUCUGAUGAUCCAACGCCAUGAUGUUUGCUUGAUGGUAACUUCAGACAUAGUACCGUUUCACGGUGUCCGAGUUGAUGAGUUGUGGAAAUUCAUCACCGUCCAUUUCUUGUAAUCUGAGAGUGCCUCCUGUCAAUACCUCCUUGACAACAAACGAGCCUUCCCAGUUAGGGGAAAAUUUUCCCUUGGACUGAUCUUGGUUGUCCAGGAUCUUCUUUAAAAGCAAGUCAUGUUGAUUAAACUGCCGUAGCCGGACUUUUUUGUUGUAGGAUCUGGCGAUCCUUUGUUGAUAUAAUUGACCAUAGAAGAUAGCCGCGGUUCGCCUUUCGUCUAUUAGAGACAAUUGGUGAUACCUGUCUUGUACCCAUUGGUCUUCAUCUAGCUGAGAGUCUAUCAACACUUUGAGGGAUUCCAUUUCAAUUUCUAUGGGGAGCACUGCUUCCAUCCCAUAGGUUAAUGCGUAGGGGGUUGCCCCAGUGGAAGUGCGCAUUGAUGUUCUGUAGGCUAACAAAGUAAGAGGCAAUAAGUCAGUCCAUCCUUUGCGGUUGGCGGACAUCUUUUGCAUGAUCUUCUUAAUGUUUUUGUUAUCCACUUCAACAACACCAUUCAUCUUUGGACGGUAGAUAACGGAGUUAAGACGUUUGAUGUGGAAUUUACUGCAUAACUCCUCCAUCAUUCUGUUGUUGAGGUUCUUAGCAUUGUCUGACACAAUUACCUCUGGUUGUCCAUAUCGACAAAUGACAUUGUUUCUGAUGAAAGCAAUGAUGACUUCUUUGGUAACCCUGGGGAAAGAAUUUGCCUCUACCCAUUUGGUGAAGUAGUCGAUCAUGGUGAAGAUAAAGUGAUGCCCAUUAAUAGCUUUGGGAUCGAUGGGACCGAUCACGUCCAUUCCCCACAUUGAGAAGGGCCAAGGUGAACUCAUAUUGUGGAGCUCCUCGGAGGGGCGUGGAUGGCAUUUCAAUGAAUUUGGCAUUGAUAACACCUCUUGACGUGAUCAUCACAGUCAAAUUUGAGGGUAAGCCAGUAAUGUUCUGUCCUAAGGAUCUUCUUAACAAGCAGUGGGCCACUCAUGUGUGGGCCACAUAUUCCACCAUGGAUCUCAUCCAUGAGUCUCUGAGCUCGGUCCUGGUCCAGACAUCUGAGGAGACCUAGUCCUUCAUCUCUCUUGUAGAGUGUAUCUCCGCUCAGGUAGAAUUUCAUAGCAAGUCAAUGGAUCCGCCUUUUCUCAGUCGGGCUCGCCUCAGCGGGUGUAGAUCCAUCUCGUAGGUACUCCUUGAUAUGUUGAUACCAAGGGUGCUGGAUGGGAGGUAGCUCAUCCGAUACUUCUCCAACAUAGUUCCCAUAGGUUGGUGCCUUGUGUAAGACAAAUGUAAUGCUUGGCAUGUGUUCCUUGUCCAUCAUGUGAAUCAAGGAGGCCAAAGUUGCUAAUGCAUCUGCAAAGUCAUUCCUAUUACGAUGAAUAUAUAGAAAUGAGAUCUCUUCAAACUCUGAAGCCAUCUGUAAAACUUGACGAUUGUAAGGCAGCAAAUGUAGCUCUUUGGUUUGAUAGAUUCCUGUGGAUUAUCUGAUUACCAACUCCAAAUCCCCAAAGACAGUUAAACUCUUGAUGCCCAUUGAACGGGCAAGUUUUAGCCCCAUGAGACAGCCUUCAUAUGACAAACUAUAAUUUAACGACGACGGGAUACUGAUCCCUCGUACCGGAUACAAGAACUGCUCCAGCUCCAGAUCCUUCCAUAUUAACAGCUCCAUUAAAAUACAUUUUCUAUGUAUGGAUUGUAUCGUACUGAUGGUGUUGCUAAACUGUCAUUAUCCCUUCAUCGGGGAAGUAGGUUUCCAAGGGUUUAAAGUUCCUGAAGGUGCGGUGGCCAGUUGAUCCGCACUUCCUUGACCUUUGAUAGACUUUUGAGUCACGUAAACGAUUUCAAAUUGUUGUAGGUUCAACUGCCAUCUGGAUAGCCGUCAAUUUAACAUGGGUUUAUUGAAUACGUACUUGAGAAGAUCCACGCGAGAUAUGAGAUGGGUUGUGUGACCAUGUAGGUAAUGAUGUAACCUCAUGGAAGCCCAUGCUAAAGCACAACAAGUCUUCUCAAUUAGAGUGUAAUUGUGUUCACUGCUGCUGAAUCUUUUGCUAAGGUAAUAGAUAGCUCGUUCUUGGCCUCUAUCAUCUUUCUGUCCCAGCAUGCAGCCUAUGGCAUUGUCACUUAUGGACAGGUACAUAAAUAUGGGAACAUCAUCCCUGGGUGGUACCAAAAUGGGAGCUUUAACUAGCUGCUCUUUGAUUGUGAGGAAGGCUUUUUGACACUCGUCGUUCCAUUUCAUGGAGGAGUUCUUCCUUAAGAACUUGAGGAUAGGCUCACAGGUUGCUGUGAGUUGAGAAAUAAACCUGCUAAUGAAGUUGAUUCUUCCCAAAAAUCCCCGUAUUUAUUUCUUUGUCUGAGAAAUAGGAAUAUCCGUGAUGGUCUGAAUUUUGGUGGGAUCCAGCUUAAUCCCUUUGUGGCUGACUAGGAAUCCUAGCAACUUGUUUGAUUUAACGCCAAGGCGCACUUUGCUGGAUUCAAAUUCAAGUUAUACUUAUGCAACCUGUUGAAGAGCUUUCUGAGAUGGUAUAAGUGGUCUUCUUCCCUUCGAGACUUAACAAUGAUGUCAUCCACGUAGAUCUCUAUCUCUUUAUACAUUAAGUCGUGGAAAAGAGCCAUCAUAGCUCGUUGAUAUGUGUCUCCGACAUUGAUGAGGCCGAAUGACAACCAUCUAUAGCAAAAAGGUCCACAAGGCGUGAUGAAAGCAGUUUUCUCACGAUCUUCCUCAACAACCAUAAUCUGGUGGUAUCCUACGAAGCAAUUCGCAAAGGAGUACAUGUCAUAUUGAGCAGUAUUGUCAAUGAGAAUGUGGAUAAAUGGCAAGGGAAAGCUAUCUUUAAGGCAAGCUUUGUUCAGAUCCUGGUAAUUCAUGCAAACUCGCACCUUUCCUCCAGGUUUAGGCACGGAAACUAUGUUGGAUAUCCAUCCAGGAUAUGUGGACACUAUGAUAAUACUAGCUUGAAAUUGUUUCACAAUUUCUUCUUUCACCUUUAAACUCUACUCAGGCUUAGCUUUUGCUUGACUGACUUGAAUCCUUCUUUAAUGGGUAGGCGAUGACGAACAAUGUCAGUGGACAAACCCACCAUGUCUUUGUGAGACCAUCCAAACACAUCCUGGAAUUGGGUUAGUAGCGUAACCAUGUCAUUUCUCUGGUUUGGGGUAAGGUCUGAACCAAUCUGGAUUAACUUAGGGCUUUCUAAGGUUCCAAGAUUGAAGGAGUGGUUUGAUCAAGGUUGGGUUUAGGUUUGUCUUCGACCCAUUCUUUAAUCUCCAGAGGCACCUCAAUGUCCUCAUAUAUUUCCAUCAAGGCUGAAUCCAACUCUACAUCAAAGUUACAAUCCUUGUGGAGAAGAGGCAUCUUAUCAGCAAGUACAGGCACAUCAAAAUUCAGGGUCCUGAAACAAAAUAUGCUUUCACUUAGUAUAUAUGAAAUGGUUUGAUCAUACACAGUGUUAGCAUGUACUGACAAAACAAAUGUUAAUACUGUAUAGAAAAGUAAGCAGUUAUGAUAUCUACAAGGCAAAAAGAGUUCCUGCCCGUUUUACCCUCGUAGACCAAUGCAAGGAGUGCUUCUCCAAUUGUCGAGGGCAAAGUCCUGGUGGACUGCAGUGAUGGAGGGGUUGCCAUCGUCCUCCGUCUCUUGAAUGAUGACCAUUACGUCUGGGCAAUCAUCGUCUGGGGUGUAUCUGUUUGUAUGAUCAUCACGGACAAUGAUGUGUAUGCCUGACAUCAUUCUGACGAUGUCUUGAUUAAUUCUUUGUUCCUCUUCUUCCACUCUGGGGUCUGGAACAAAGACUUCUUUCUCCUUUAUCGGUAUCGGCUUGGGAAAUAACAUAGCCAUUACGCUGGCUGUCACCUUUACCGGAGGUUAUGUGGACUCAGGAUUUGUAGGUGGAGACAAUCAUCGUGUAACUGAAGCUGGAAGAAUCUGAUGAUGCAUAUGUGGAUUCCUGUGACUGGAACUAGCAGAAUAACCCAGUCCAGCUAUCCCAGUUUGGCUGAUCACUUAAAUCGGGUGCUUAAUACCCUGAUGACUUUUACCCAACCCUUGUCCUGGCUGAUGACCCAAAGAUAUCAUUUCUUGAGUAGCCGACAUUACUUCAGAAAAAAUCUUGGGUAUGAGUGGUGGCACCCCAAUAGGGUGGUAGUGAGUGUUGCUCACCUCCAGGGCAUGAAAAUUGAUCGGCUCAACUUCUGAGUUGAAGCUGAAGAGUGGUAUGUCACUUUAUUUAGGACAUUCUGGUUCAGCGUUAACCGUGACUAGGCUAUCAUUAAUGAUGUAUUUCAAUUACUGAUGAAGAGUGGAGGGGACGGCCCCAGCCUUAUGAAUCCACGGUUUUCCCAAUAGCAGGUUGUAUCCUGAAUCUAUUUUGAUCACGUGAAAAGAUACGUAUAAUGUAUAGGGACCAAUCUCGAUUGGCAGCUAAAUCUCUUCGACUAAAUUCCUGUGGACUCCGUUGAAAGCUUUAAUGAUCGUAUGGCUACUUCAAAUCCGUUUGAGAUUGACGUUCAUCUUCAGGAAAGUAGUAUAAGGACAAAUAUUCAGAGACGACCCUCCAUCUAUCAAAACUCCAGCUAGCAUGUACCCGGAGGACAAAACCGCAAUGUGCAACGGCUUGCAAUGACCGGUCUUUUCUGGCGGUAUAUCAUCAUCAGUGAAUGAUAUCACAUUGUUGUUAAAAAUGUGAUCAACCAAAUAUUGAAAUUUUUCCACAUCCACUGAUGUCGGCAAGUAGGCUUCUUCCAAAACCUUCAGUAAGAUCUUCCUGUGAACCUUGGAAGUUAAAACCAAGUCCAGGAUUGAAAUUUGGUGUGGAGCUUCUCUUAAGCUUAAAACCACCUUGGCUUCGUUAUGACCCAUAGUGCGGAGGAAUUUUUCAAUCUUCUCCAUGGGUAUUUUCCCCUUUGAUUUUAUGGUAGACUUCAUCACCCGUUGGGGAAGAUACAAUGGAUUUUCCUUCGACACUGUCGCAGUUGUAUGAGAGGUGGAUCCUUCAGCUUCUCCAUAAUUCCAUGGGACUUUUUUAAAGUUGAUAACAUGAUAUUGUGUUUUGAAUGGCAAGUUGAUCGGCUCGGGAGCAGCCACUAUCAAAGGAUUGUCAAUUCCUUUGAGUUGAAUUUCUUGCAUUAUGAAAGGUUUGACAGUUCCAUCAGCCUCGGUGGAUAUAACUGCUACCAGUCCCUUCCAUUUAGUAGGACAAAUAUUCUUACUUUCAAAUAAAACAGUAUCAUUUUCUGCUAGCUGCAGGACACCGUUGUCAAUUAGGUUCUGAAUAAGGUGGCGGAGUGCCCAACAUUCUUCCGUACUGUGACCGCGAGAAUGGGAGUGAUAUUGGCAUACUCCAUCAGAAUUAAACCGUCUUGAGUGGGAAUUAAUUGGAGGCAGAAGGGAAGUGAUCCUUCCUUCAUUGAUCAACAUCUGAAGUAUCUCCUCCAGAGGUUGGCCCAUGUAUGUAAAUUCCCUUCUAUUGGCAAAAUCCCGACGGGCUUUGGCACUUGCUAUCUUCGUCACGUUGUCUUCCAGUGUUUCUUUCUCUAAAGGUGACGAGGGAGUAUUCACAACAAAAGGGAGCAGACUAGCAUGCUCCUGGCUGACUAAUUGACGUGUGACUUGAUGUUGAUAGGUCACCAAUUCUGCCAAUUGCUCAAUCUGCUUACAGAGAGCUUUUAUCUUUCGUUCCAUUGCGAACUGGAACUUUGUAUAUUACCAUUUAUCAACACCGUCUUUGAUGGUCUGGGAUGAUUCAUUGUUAAAAUUGGAACUCUGUCCACUGCUCCAAUUGAUCAUGUUGACCUCUUCCUCUUUGUGUUGAGGAAGAGGGUUGUCUUGUACGUGAGGUUGAUCUGGUUUGGUGAACACGAUCUCACUGUUGUCUAUUAAAUCUUGGAUCUUGUGUUGUAAGGCCCAACAAUCUUGAGUAUUAUGUCCAGGUGCCCCGGCAUGAUAAGCACAUUUUCGAGCAGCAUUGAAACCCCUCCCAUUAAGGUUGGCUGGUGGAAGAAGAUGCAUAAUUUUCUUCUGAGUCAUCAGAAGAGUGAGAAUGUUCUCGAGCGAGUCCCUUAAGGGUGUGAAUACUCGAGGGCAUUUGACUUCUCCACCUUUUGGCAAUGGAGGGUUUGAAGAUUGUGUUUGAAAGGGAGUGUAAUUUCUCCUCUAGAUAGGCAUAUUUUGAUUGCCUUUCUGACCUUGUAGUAUCAAGGAAACAUCCUCCUCUUUCUUUUUAUGGACCCUCCGGGGGUUGUUUCCAUAAUUUUUCGGAUUGGAUGUGCUCAGCAACAACUUUAAGGGCAACUAGGUGUUGAAUCUUUCCUGACAUCAAUCCCAUCUCAGCCAUCUCCCCAUGUUUAAUCAUUUCAGAAAAUGGUUUGCCAAUGCCAGCUAACACUCUUUCAUAGAAGGGAGCUUCUUGUAUGUCUAUGAAGGUCAUGACCAUUUAUGAUUCUGUCAUGGAAGGAAUAACUUGAGCAGCAAGGCACCUUUGAGCAUACUCUCUGAAAGACUCAUUGGACUGUUUCUUGACCUUGGUAAUUUGGUACCGGUCAGGAGCCAUCUGAGACUAGAAGCUGUAUUGAGUGAGGAAGGCCUGAGCAAGCUCCUCCCAACUAUGGAUCUUUGAGUUGUCUAAUCUGGUAUACCACGAACGGGAUUCUCCAGUCAGACUCUUUUGGAACAGCUGCAUCCUGAGCUUUUCGCCCUAUGCAUAAGAUCCAAGUUCUCCAAUGAACACCUUAAAAUGUGUGUAAGGAUCUCCUUAACCAUCAUAUUUUUUGAAGUCAGGAGUUUUGAACUUUUCUAGAUAAUGAACACCAGGGAAUAUACAAAGGUCAGCAUAUGAGACACUUCCGUGUGCUCCAAUUCCUUUGAUCGCACGAAGGGUUUCUUCCAUUUGAAGGACUUUCUUCUUGAUGUCACCGGUGUCUGGAUCUCCUUUGAAAUGGGUGGUAUCAUGAAUUUUGUUGGUCGUAUCCAACUGAAGUUCAGGUUCUGUAAUGGCUUUUAUCAGGACCUUGGGUUCCUCCUUGUGUAGAGGAUUCAGCAUGUAUGGGUAUCCUCGUACCCUGAGUAGAUUGGUGUAGUUCUUUAAGCAGAACAGCCAAAUCUUUGAUUUGUUUACUUAAUCCGUCAAAUUCUUUGCGAGAAUAUGGAUUAAGGUCAGUCUGGUCUGAUGAUGACAUAAUUGACUUUAGGCUCGUGGCCUUUUUGGAUUUUGAUCGGGUAAUAGGUCCGAUUGCUUCCCUGCAAAAGACUUGCGUAGUUUAGUCUUUAGGGAAUGUGUAAAUGUUUACAUGCUAUGUAUCCGUUCUAGGAAUAUUAUCCUGCAAGGCGAAUGUUAGCUGUUUGUAAUACAUGAUAGUAUGUUAAUUUAAAUAUGUAUGUACACAUGUUUCUUCAUAUUUCUCAUUACAUGGAGAUGAAUAUGGAAUGAAAUUACAAGUAAUUGAUUUUUAUGAGUAAUUUGAAAUGAGAAAGCAAGAAGAGACUUUCCUCCGCGUUUGGUUUAUCAGAUGAUGGCCUAUCUUAGGUUACUCUCGCGGCUUUUUGGCAUGAAGGUUCCCAAAUCAUCACAAUUUACUCGACGAGAAAUUAAUCUGGUCUUUCAACUGGAGCGAAUUUGGGUGGUGCCUUUCCUGAGCCUCGUUGGGAUUAGUCUUCUUAUGACUCCAGUAAUCAAACACCGAUAAGAUAGCCUCCUGAUGGAGGAACCACACAACAUAUAUUCACAUACAACGUGUCUCACCGUUUAUGAAAAUGAUGACAUGUGCGAAGUACUAAUAUCACAAGCAGAUAUAAUGUAAAGCAUUAAAUGCAGAAAAAUAUAUGCAUUCGUACGCAUUCAUCAUAAAUGUAAAUGCAACAUUCACACACAAGCAUAUAACAGUUUUGAAAAGCUUGUAAUAGCGGCUUAAGUCCUCUUACUGGUAUAGUCCCCAGCAGAGUCGCCACCUGUCGACAUCGGGAUUUUUAUUUGUCCCUUUUUGUUACUUGUUCUUUGGUGUUCUCAUGUUAGGUAAGAUUUGUUUGAAAAAACAAGUGAAAAAGGUUCGACAUGUAUCAUGUCGACGAUGGACUGUUAAGAGUCGUCAAUUGGUUUUUUAUAUGGUUAUACUAACACAACCGAGAAAAGUUUUGCACAUUGACCCAGUGAUGUGGCACUACUAAACGGGUCGGUGAAACCGAGAUUCAUUAGGGUCCGGGGACUUGAUUAUGCGGAGGGAAGGUGUUAGGCACACCCCGACAUCAGUGUUACCACGGUGACCGCCACUUUUCAAGAAACAAUUAUAUAAAUGUGUGUGUGUGUGCGGUUCAAUGUGUUGUUAUUUGGAAGUAGUGUGAGGCCUUGUUCGCACCUAUAUACACAAGGUUUGAAUUUGUGUAAAAAUUCAGUUUUAAACAAGAUAUGGCAGUGAUGUUUUAUAAAGGAGGUUUUUCAAACCCUUAUGCUCAAUAGUAAUUGAGACCUUUUACACUCCCAUUUUUAUUAAGUGUUCGGCUUGAUUGUUUUUUAUUUUCGAGAUGCGAAGCAUCUUAGAGAAAAUAAUGUACAAAAUAGUGUCGAACUCCUCGUGGGUAUGAAAACCAUCUGAGGAAAUAUAAACACCGUGAAUAAAUUUAUAAGCUUCUUACAGCUGGAAAUGUCCAUCAAGGGAACCGAAUCUAGAUCCAGUAAACUGAAUAUGUGAUCACAUGAUUCCUAGGCUAACAUGAUGUCGCGAUUGAUAAUAAAGUAGUAAGCAGGUAUAUAUAUAAAAGCUGUAAAUAUAUAUAUAUACAGACAUGAUUCACCACCACGAAGCAACUCCAUGGGGGAUCAGAAAUGUAAAUAAAUCUGUAAAAGUAAUCAACCGCCACGGAGUAUACUCCAGGCGGGACGAAAAAUAAAGAAAGCAGUAAAGACGAUCAACCGCCACGAAGUAAACUCCAGGUGAGAUUAAAUGUAUAUAUAUAUAUAUAUACAAACUGAAAUGAAACCACGGACCGAAGUUCGGGCAAACACACGCAACACGACUCUUAACGUGAAUAAUAGUGUGUGCAAAGAUAAAGAGAAAGGCUUUAAAGUGUGUGAGAAGGCUUACAGUGGGAUGCCAAAGAAGACUUCUAUAUCAUUAAAGGGAUGAACACUCGGCUCCCGCCGGUACAAAAUAGAAGCUAUAUGUGAGCUCACAAGUGUUUAAAAUGAGAAAGCACUCAAUGUAGGGUGUGUACAGAGCAAAUUGGACAGGGCUUCCUCGCCUUUUUCUCUUACAAAAUGGUCACCCCAAGCCCUCUAUUUAUAGAGGGGGGAGCCGCAGGGGUGCUUGCGGCUAGGCCGCAGAUGUACCUGCGGCUGCCCGAGUUCCCCCGGGCUUCGCGGGUCACGCCGUCUCAAAGUACGUGCACGCAUGCACUGUAAUAUCUGCUCGAACUUUCAGAAUUGCAAUCCGGGCAUCCGACUGACGUAAGUAAGACCUAUUUAGGACCUCCGUUGUCGAGAGUUACGCAAUGACAUGGGAUUAGAGGUUGUACGAAGUCAGGAAGAUGGGACCAUGCCCUCCGGUCUUCAAGCUUCAAAUUAUAUAUGUUUUCCUGCAUAAUAGUCACUCGGGAUUUGACUUCCUUGGUUCUUGUGGGACAUUGCUGUGUAGAAAUGUAUGUAUGAAAUGUUGAGACGGUGCGAUGUGACGUCAAGGUGGCAAGAUGACGACUUUUUCCCUUACCGGGGUUAUCUCCGGUUUGGGCUGAUAAAGCAGACGUUGCUCAGUGUUAUCUCUGAGAUUGGACUGCUGCAAGUGUUGAAGGUCCUUAGUGUCAUAUCUGAGGUGUGCCUAUCUUCCUGGUGUUAUCUCUAGAACUGCACUCCUUGGGGUUAUCUCCAAGGUUGGUAACUACUACUCCCAGUGUUGGGACUGAGACUGAAUAUCUCGGGGUUAUCUCCGAGACGAAUCAGCCUUCUCCAGUGGAAUUUCUGAUAUUGGAACUGCAUGCCUCAGGGUUAUCACAACAUCACACCAAACAACAAUAAAAUCUAAUAUAAUAAAUCACAAAUCAAAACACAGCUAAAACCAAAACUUCAACCAAUUAAAUCUCAAAAGUAAAAAAACAAUCAAAUCUAACCUAUUGAGAUACACCCAUUUGUGGUAUCACCAAAUUCGUGAUACACAACAACCAAAAUAAUUAUACAAAUUUCAGAAUCAUAUGAUUUUAAGAAAUAUAACAACAAUCAACAAACUCACACCAAGUUCACUUACAAAAUGAAACCCAUUAGGUCAUGGAGCAAGUCCAGUAACCUUUGUGAUUGCAGAUAUUAGUGAAGUUUUCCCAUGACCAAUAUGUCCAAUGGUACCAACAUUCACAUGAGGUUUUCUGGAUCAUAAAAAAAAAGAAUAAAUAAAUAAAUGAUACAUUAUAUAAGUGGUAAUGUCAUGGUCAUGCAAAGAACAUUAUAACUGCAGACUUCAGAAAGAUAACCGUACAUAAAGUAAUACAUACAAAUCUUACAUGAAAGUUGUGAAAAUUAUGAAAUAAAUAAAUUUUUUACUCUCAAAAAUAAGAAAAGUUGUAAUGAAUUUUAACAAUAUUAUAAUGUUGAAUCUAACAUAUCUAAUGCCAAUGAAUAAUUUCGACCCCCCUUCAUAAAUUUUUUGAAUGUUCCUUGCUCAUGGUCAAAAGUAGACAGAUCAGUACUUAUAUAUUUCAAUUAACACUUAUUCAUGAUAAAAAAAAUCAUUUAUUCAAAAUAGGUUUCACAGCAUUCAUUCAAACUGCCAACUAAAGUUGGGUUUCAUUAUCAAGCGUAAACAAAAAUAAAAAUAACCCAUUAACUUUUUUAAUUUGAAGUUCAUCCUCAUACCAGAAAACAUUGAACCAAGUAUCCUAUAAUUUCUCAACAACCAAAUAGUUGUAAUUGAAUAUAAGUGUUCAUUCCAACUUAACAUUUCAAACACUAAUUAAUUACUCCCUCCGUCCAAGGAUUAAAGUCUUUAUUACUAUUUCAGGUAGUCCCAAGUUAAAUGUCUACUUACCUUAAAUGAUCUAGUUUUUUACAAUAAUUUGCCUAUAAUACCCUUAUUAUUAAUUGUUAUAUUUCUAUUCUCUAUGAAAAUUUAUGGAGCAUCACUAGUAAUGUGCAGAAAACUAUGCAAUUAAAUGAGAAUUUAAAUACGGACAAUUUUGUCAUUUUAUCAUCUUUCUUAAUAUGCGUAAAAAGUCAACCAUGACUUUUUAUCCUGGGACGUAGGGAGUAUAAAAUAAAAAAAACACAAAAUCAAACACCUAGAAAACUAAAAAGAAAAUCGUAUAUAAAUAGUUAAAUUUGAUCGCAUGAAUAAACUCACUUAUGUUCUUGUGAAGGUGGCCAUGGACCGCCGGAAAAACCCUAUCCCUGCAUCCUUCAAUUUGAUUUGUAAUUCCAAUUUUCUAAAAAUUUAGAAAAAUAUUAAAGGAGACGGGGUUUUGGUGAUGGGAUUUGCCAUGAGAGAUGAGAAAUUACCGAAUCUAAGAUUAACCACCAAUUACAACCCUUUUUUAGGGUUUCCCAAUUUCUCAAAAAGCCAUGUACCGCUGGAAAAACCCUAUCUCUGCAUCCUUCAAUUUGAUCUAUAUUCAAUUUUCUAAAAAUUUAGAAAACUAUUAAAGGAGACGGGGUUUUGGUGAUGGGAGUUGCCAUGAGAGAGGAUAAAUUACCGAAUCUAAGAUUAACCACCAAUUACAACCCUUUUCUAGGGUUUCCCAAUUUCUCAAAAAUCUCAAAUUAUCGCACUUUUCUAACUUUUUCAAGUUAUCUUCCUGGAGUUACUUUUCCUUGAUUUUUACAAAUAUUGAGGGUUUUCAGAGGUGUGAAAUAGGGGUUUUAUAAUAUGAGAGGAAGGGAAGAGGCAGGGUGAAAAGAGAGGUGUGAAGAGGCGAUGAUUUAUAUGGGUGAAGCUAUCGAGGGAAAGCAGAUGAGUCAGUCAAUAAGAAGAGAAGGAGCCAAACGACUAUGAAGAAGAUGAGUUAGUUGACUAAAGGAUGGACUCGUGCAGCAGUAACCUCUGUUGGCAGUUCCUCUCAGACGAUCAAAUAUAUUUGGUAUAUUAAACCAAAAUUAUUUAUUUUGGUAUCAGCUUCAAAUCGACGACCAUCAGUUGUGCCAAGAAUUUGGACCAAAAUUCCAAGACUGACAUGCAUAAAUUGGACCAAAAUUGCUUCUCAAUAUUAAAUAUGAACCUCAUAAUAUAUUCUCAGUUUCAAAUUUUGGGCUUCUAAAAUUAAAUAAUAAUCUUGUUGUUUGCUUUCGAAGUUGGUGUUUCUGAAUUAUUUAAAUUACCAACAGAUGAAAUUCUCAAAUUUCAAAAAGAUAAUUACAUUUUUAAAUAAACUACAAUGCUAAUAGAAUCCAGAUUGCCUAUUAAUUUCAUACUCAGUUUGAUUCCAAGACCAAUUUGACCAAAGAAAAUUGGCAUGGUUGAAGGUGCAUUACCAUCAGUAUUAGGAUUAAAAUGUGGUCCUGUAAUAAUGUAAUUGAACAAAAAAUCACAACAUAACACCAAAUAUGACGCCCCCAAAUUCGGGUAUCUUCCAACCCGGCAUAUGGUGGUGCUACACGGUGCUACAGUUCACACAUACAUUCAAUUGAAAUGCCUCAAAAGAACAAAUAUGUGUUAUAUAUAUUCCAGAAUAAUAUUCCCUUCACAGGUUCUUUAUAACCAAUACAUAAGUUCUUUGUCAUAAUAUCAAAUACAUUACAACAUUAAACCUAUACUAUUACAUAGACAGUUCACCGGUCUGCCUUAGCCUUUCCCUUAUCUUUACCGGAUCGUUUGGUCCGUUUAGUCUUAGCUGCAUUCAUAUGGUUCAAGCAAGAGUUAGCAUAACUAGCUCAGCAAGUACAACAAUUAUAAAUAAAUAGCAUGUUGAAACAUAGGAAUCUAUAACUUGAAUAACUGAACAAUAGUUACGAAGUACUAUUGAUAAUUCAAAAUAGCACUUCUCUUUUCCUUCAAAAUGUUUUACAAUGACAAUAUUCAGUAAAACAUCAAUUCCGGUCUAAGACCAUGAGCAUUUCAUACUUUCUUUGAAAAGGAUGACCUGACACUAAGUCCAUAAGUCCGACAUAUCUUACGAGCAGGUCUAGGUGAUCAGCCUAUAGUACUCUAUGUUGAUCAACAAUACAUUCUUUAAAUGUAUUUACGUUUAAGUUGUGGCAACCUCACGUGCCUGUCGUUUGAUGACAAAACAUUUUAGCAUACUCAGUCUUCAUUUGAAAACCAUACCAACAUAGUUUGGUAAAAAAUUGACAGUACUUUGAUAGAUUAUAGGAAAUCCAACUUAUCGUAAGUUUAGCUGAAAGAAUUGGCUUUGAAUUUAUCAUACAUCAAUUCAUGAGUAAGAAUACAUGAAUCACAAAGCUUUUCUAGAUUGAACUAAAACAAGGGUAAGAACACUUACCUUUAGCGUCUGCUACUGUUAUUACACGUUCACUUUAAGUCUUUAAGGUCUCUACAAUAUAUGAUCACAUAACAUAACACAUUAGGUCAUGAAUAAACAUAUAUGGUUCCUAAUGAAUCUUAUCCAUCUUCUCAAUCUAAUCUUAUAUUAGAUUUUUUACUAUUGGUUCCGGCUUUUCGUUACGCUUUACAUCGUCAUUACGUUCACGUUCAAUUGAUUACUUUCAACCUUUAGUUAUCACACUUAAGGUUUAACAAUGUUUUUAAAAAUGUUACUUUAAGUUUUAUUACUGUGUUAGUUCAUUAUCUCAUUAACCAACUUUUCCUUUUUAUGCUUACAAGCCUUCAUUACUAUGCUUGGUUUAGUGUUGGCGUUGCGGCGCCAGCUUCCCUUCUUCAACUCGCGCUGCGGCGCGGGUUUGCAGUGCACAAGCCCCGACCUCGGCGCUGCGGCACUAAUCUUUCUUCAAUGUGCCGCAUUGCGGCGCCAACUAACAGUGUACUAUGGUUUGGCCUCGCACUGCGGCGCUGACCUUUCUUCUUUGAGUCACGCUGCGGCGCAGACUUUGUGCCUCAGAAAAAUUUGACAAAUUUUUUACUUAGUGAACUUCCAGGACUCCAAAUUUGAUCAUUUUAAGUCCGAAUUGGCUUGUUCAAAAACCGUUAGCUCACAAUUCAAAUACUUUACGUGUUCAUGCAGAAAUUUUACAAUUUUGACUUCGUUAACUCGAAAUUACCCUAUGAGUUCAUUUUUCACGAAAACGAUAAACAUUCGUGAACGUUCAACGCUCGUUUCUUCGUUCUAAGUUGGAAUUCGAUCAUUUUCGAGUCCACAACUCUAUAAUGCCAAAUAAGACUUGUUCCCAUUGAAAACCAAUGUUUUCGAGCUUAAUAUCAAAAUUCUACUUCCAUUCCGAGAAUUUCACGAAUUCGACGAUUAUCGUCCAAUCGUGUGAAUUCCGACAUAACCUCAUUACUUAUGAUUUGUUCAUUGUUUCAAAUGGAUUCGAUCCAUCAUAUUGACAUCUUAACCUCCUCAUUACAUUAACUUAUUUUCAUGAUAAGUUAUUACUUAUUCUUCACGAGCUUAUAACUUAUCAAAGUAUAAACUACAUAUAAUUUCAUUUCUCAUGACUGAUGAUAACCUAUGUCUUCUAACCAUCAUUCUUACAUACUUUUAUCAUACUAACUUCAUUUAUGUAAACAUGUUACAAGUAUUACAAUUUCUUCUUUAGUUCAUAACUUAUCUAUGAACAAAGUGCUUAUUCACGGCUUAUUAAGACUUAAGUCUUUAGAUUAUUCAUUCUUAUGAUUUCUUAGCAUACAUGUCCAUUAAUCCACAUUUCUCUUAUCAACCUAUAAUGGUAGAGAUGGAAGACUAAUAACAUAGGAGGCUUACCCUUGAUGAACAAGCUUUCUUCUUCUUUUCUAACAAAUGAUAGACUAGAUUAUUCUUGAUUAUUCUCUCUAACAAUUAAGUUAAAAGUGUUGGAUGAAAAUUAACAAACAACAAAUUAAAUCCUAAGCUUGCUAUUUAUAGGAUUUCCUAAGUUAGGGUAAUUUGGUCAUGAGGUCAUCCCACCUCCUUAAGCACCUCCUUACUAUUCAUUACUUCUUAAUUAAGUUAACUUGCUAGCCACCUACUUUACUUGGCCAUUACAUUAUUUACUUGGUCACCACGUUAUUUUCUUGAUCACCAAGAUUAACCAUAUGACCAUGGGUUGCCCCAUGGGUCACCCUAAUCCAUUGGAUCAAUAAUUUGGGCUUAGGUUUAAUUUAUUUAACUAAAGCUUUUGGGCUUGCAUUAAUUUACUUUGGACUUUACAUUUAUAACCACUUGGGAUUUUAUUAACAAAUCUUUGGGCUUUCAUAUUAAUUCUUAUUGGACUUGCACAUCCUACAUAAUCCAACAAGUCCAUUUCAUUUGGCUUAAAGCUUUAGAACAUAUACUAUACGUAUUAUUCUCGUAUUUUAACUCGUAUACUAAUUCAUAAUAUAUGAUAUACCAUCAUUCAUAUAUACUCGUAUAAUACUUUAUAUCAUACUCGUAUUCAUUACCUCGUACAAUACAUACGUAUCAUACGAUCAUCACAUUAGCUUCUAACGCUUUAUUUUCCCUAACUUUCACAAAUUAAGUCCGCAUGCGAAAAAUUACGUUUCCAUACUUGAAUUAUUAUUACAUAAUCCAUCUCACCUCAAUAUUCUAUCAUUACGUAUUUCUCGGAAGUUCAAAAAUAAUUCCCGAGUAGAAAUCGAUGAAUAGUGUUUUUUGAAAAAUUUCUCGGAAAGCUUUUAUUUUCGUCUUGAAAAUUCAAACACUUUAAUUCCUUCACAUAGUUAAAAUACUACGACCUUCCGAUGUUUCUAGGUUAUAGAACGACAUUCAUCUUACUAACACAUAAUAAUAAUAAAUAAUAUAAUUUUAUUCCUUAUAUAAUUAAAUAAAAUUAUUUUACAAAAGAUUCGAAUUUCUCGGUCAUUACAUUCUCCCCCCCUUAUAAAGAUUUUGUCCCCAGAAUCUCGUCUUUCAUUAAAUAAACAACUGAGGGUAAGUCUUCCUUAUCUUUUCUUCCAAUUCCUACGUUGCUUCUUCUGCAUCGUGGUUCUUCCAUAACACCUUCACGGAAGGUAUAACUUUGUUUCGCAGAACUUGCUCUUUUCUAUCGAUGAUUUGAAUCGGCAUUUCUUCAUACGUUAAGUCCUUCUCGAUAUGAAUAGGCUCAUACACUAUUACGUGCUUAUAAUCUGGCUUAUAAGGACGUAACACCGAUACGUGAAACACGUUAUGUAUUCGUUCUAGGCCUGGAGGUAACGCUACCAUAUAAGCUACCUCACCUACCUAUUUUAACACUUCAAAAGGUCCUAUAAACCUUGGACUUAACUUCCCCUUCUUUCCAAAAUGUAUAUUUCCUUUCUAGGGAGAUACCUUUUGAAAUACAUACGAGCCUACCUCAAACUCCCUAUUUUCUCGAUGCGAGUCUGCAUACUUCUUCUGUCUGUCUUGAUCUGCUACGAGACGCAUCCGUAUCAACUUCACUACAUCCACUGUUUGUUGUACUAAUUCUGGUCCAAGCAUUCGGCGUUCCCCCACUUCUUCCCAACAUAGUGGUGUUCUGCACUUCCUUCCAUAUAAGGCUUCGUAAGGCGGCAUACCUAUGCUUGCUUGAUAACUGUUAUUAUAUGCAAACUCUACUAAUGGUAGAUGAUCAUCCCAACUACCCUUAAAAUCCAUGACGCAAGAUCUCAACAUAUCUUCUAACGUCUGAAUUGUUCUCUCGCUCUGUCCAUCAGUUUAUGGAUGAUAAGCCGUACUCAACUUCAACUGCGUUCCCAACUGCUCUUGCAGACUUCUCCAAAAGUUUGAUGUGAAUCAUGGGUCAUGAUCUGACACAAUCAAAAUUGGUACUCCAUGUCUGGAAAUAACUUCUUUAACAUAAAGUUUAGCUAACUAGUAUAAGUUAUACUUAACCCUAAUUGGCAAAAAGUGAGCCGAAUUCGUCAAUCGGUCCACUAUUACCCAAAUCGCAUCAUACCCUUUCUGAGUAAUCGGAAGUCCCACCACAAAGUCCAUCGUGAUUUGCUCCCACUUCCACUCUGGAAUUUCCAAUGACUGUAACAAGCCACUUGGUCUUUGAUGUUCGGCCUUAACUUUCUGACAAGUCAAGCACCUACUCACAUACUCGGCUAUUUCUCUCUUCAUGUUCGGCCACCAAAAACUAUGUCGAAGGUCUUGAUACAUCUUAGUGCUACCAGGAUGAAUCGAGUACCUCGAACUAUGAGCCUCUUAUAAUACUUGCUCCUUUAAUUUUGUCUCAUUCGGAGCCCAAAUUCUUACUUUAAAUCUAAAUAACCCCUUGUUAUCAAGACUAUACUUUAUAUCAUUUUCAUUGGUUAACCACUUCUUUAUCUGGUCACACUCAUCAGUUUUGAGCUGCACCUCCUUGACUCUCUCUACAAUGGUAGAUUGAAUCUCAGUCGCAAACAGUCUAUGUCCCGAUUCACUCAGUAACUUCACCUCUAUGUCCAUCCUAGCCAUCUCUGUUAUUAACUCAAUUUUAGCCGUUAACAUAGACAACUUCUCUCGACCCUUUCUACUUAAGGCAUCGGCAACUACAUUGGCUUUUCCAGGGUGAUACAGGAUUUCACAGUCGUAAUCCUUUAUCAACUCCAACCAUCUCCUCUACCUGAUAUUCAACUCCUUCUGUGUGAAGAUAAAUUUUAGACUCUUAUGGUCUGUGUAUAUCUCACGUUUUUCUCUGUAAAGAUAAUGUCUCCAUAUCUUUAAGGCAAAAACUACCGUAGCUAGUUCCAGAUCAUGAGUAGGGUAAACGUUUUCAUAAUCCUUCAACUGCCGUAAUGCAUACGCAAUGACCUUGCCAUACUGCAUGAGCACGCAACCAAGUCCUCUAUGCAAAACAUCGCUAUAAACUACAAAAUUUCCUGUGUCGUAUGGUAAUGAAAAAACAGGCGCUUCACUUCUUCUUCAUUUCUUGAAAACUGUUCUAGCAUUUCUCUGUCCACGCUUAUUUCACCAUAUUUCUUGUCAAGUUAGUCAACAGAAUAGCUAUCUUUGAAAAAUCCUGGAUGAAUCUCUGAUAGUAUCCCGCUAACCCUAGGAAACUCCGCACCUCAAUCAGCAUUUUCGGUUGUUCCCAAUUCAUCAUGGCUUCCACCUUUGCUGGAUCUACUGAAAUUCGUUCAUGGUCAAUGACAUGACCUAAAAACUGUACCUUUUCUAGCCAAAAUUAACACUUAGUGAACUUAGAAUACAACUUCUCCUUCCUUAGUGUCUCCAACACUAUUCUUAGGUGUUCAACAUGAUCUUCUGGCGUCUUAGAAUAGACAAGAAUAUCAUCGAUAAACACCACGACAAACUUGUCCAAAUAUUAUUUGAACACACUGUUCAUCAUAUCCAUAAAUGUAGUUGGUGCAUUAGUCAACCCAAAUGACAUCACCAGAAACUCGUAAUGACCAUAACGAGUCUUGAAUGCCGUCUUUCGUACAUCCUCCUUCUUAACCUUCAACUGAUGAUACCCCAUCCGUAAAUCAAUUUUUGAAAAAUACUUUGCCCCUUUCAACUGAUCAAAAAGAUCAUCGAUCCUGGGAAAUGGGUAUUUAUUAUUUAUCGUUAACUUGUUUAACUCAUGAUAUUCGAUACAAAGUCUUAAUGAUCCGUCCUUCUUCUUGACAAACAAUAUCGGUACUUCUCAUGGCGAAACACUCGGUUGAAUGUACUUUCUGUCCAAUAGUUCGUGUAACUGUACCAUUAAUUCCUUCAUCUCCACUGGCACCUUUGGAAACGGGUGCCGCUCUUGGCACAAUAUCUAUUACGAACUCGGUCUCCCUAUCCAGUGGAAGACCCGAGAAUUCACUUGGAAAUACAUCCGUGAAUUCUUUAACUACAAGUAUUUGUUCCAUGGUCGCUCCCACUCUUUGGGUAUCAACAACGUGGCACUAAUAACCUACACACCCCUUCCUCAAUAGUUUUCUAGUUUGUGAUAUCGUAAGACAACACGAACGCCCUGGCUAUCUAUUACCAUAAAAUAUUACAUGAGGUUGUCUCAACGUUCUAAUAUUCACACAUUGACAAUCUAUAAUUUCCCCAUGGUUAAACAACCAAUCCAUUCCGAGAAUUACAUCCAAUUCUCCUAACUUUAUCGGUAUCAAAUCCACCGAUAAUUUACAACCCUGUAUGUCUACGCAACAACUCCUAUGAAUAUCUUCAACAUGAAUUAUCUCUUCGUUUGUUAUUUUAAUAUUUAAAGGUAUAGGCAACUUUUCGGGAAAUAAUCAUAAUCGUCUAGUAAAAUCAUAUGCUAUAAACGAACAAGUAGCACCCGAAUCAAACAGCACAUAAGCAUUUAUGUCGUUGAUCGGAAUAAUACCUACAACUACGUCCCAUGAUGCCAUCGCAUCUUGGACCAUCAUGUUAAAGGUGCGGGCCAUCGACAUACCCGGCUGCGCUGGACCACCAAUAACUAACUUACCGCUAUUAGCGCCCUUAUUCCCUUUCGCCCCCUUCUUCGGGCAUGUUCUUUGCUAUGUGUUUAGUUGAACCACAUAAAAAGCAUCCGUGAUUCUUCUUCGGACUUGGACAGUUAGGCGAAAUGUGCCCCUCCUAUCCACAGUUGUAGCAUACAGCCUUCCCCUUGAGAUGGACUCCUAAAUGAGUCUUCCCAUAGGUUUUAAAGGCCUCCAUCCUCCUCUUCGGAUCUCAUUGCUUCACUCUGGUAUUCUGUUGGGUAAAAUCGAUACACACAAAACACGCAAGUGUGCGUGGUCAACAAGUAAUAUAGUAGUGAAUAAAGUAUCAUUCCCACAAAGACAAAAAAUAGCAAAAAUUUUAAAUUCACAAUUAUCAAUUUUCUAUUAAUCCUAAUUCUAUUAAACUAUUCAAAUCAAUGGUUUAAAAUUAUAGAAACUAAAUUAAUAAAUAAAUAAACUAUCACAAAACAAUCACUAAUAUCAAAGUCCGAAAUUUCAAACAAUUAAUGGAGAAUUAGACUUAUGAUUUCACCCUGAGCUUCACUAUGAUUUUCAAACCUUUAUUCCAACUCAAUUUAAUAUCCAAGUUUAUUAAUCAAGAACACGAAUGUAAUACUAGCCACCUCUCGAUGCACUAAUACCAUAUUAACUUAAAUCCACAAUUAAGAUAGAAACAAGUUAAACACCUAAAUCAACCAACUCACUAUAUCUCUAUGUGAACUACAAUUAAAGAAGGUUUAAGCUUAAGUUCUCUAUCCGAUUACAUGUGAUGUCAAGCAUAUCUCUACCUUAACAAUAAUCAAAAAAAUUAGCUAUUCACAAAAUUCAUGACACAUGCUACAUUAACUAGGUUUAGAUUUGAAUUCCUCUCUCGAUUCCAUUCAAAUCCAUGAGGAAUUGUUGAUCAAGCAAUUCAUAAGUUCACGCUCGAAUUAACAUAUAUAAACUGAAAAUAUUUUAUUGAAUUGGAAAUCAAAGUUAUAGAAUCAUUGUUUCACCCAAGGCUCCAUCACAAGUUUAAUAAGCGAAUUAGUUCAUAACGAAUGAAUUAAAAACUAAAUAAUCUAAUGAAACCAUCCUUUCAAUUAUAAAUAAAAAACUAAAGAGAAGAAGAAUAAUGAACACCCUUUACGUAGCCUAGAUUUGUAACCGUCACGGUAAUCUCUUCAAAUUACUCCUCCAAAGCACGCACUUGAAUCCUGGAAUUUUUCUCCGAAUUAUGCUUGUUGUGUUGAGUGAUUUAUUAUUUUUCACGUAAAAUUAAGCUCUCCCCAUGUCCUGCUCGAAGUCUACCAUUUAAAGAGUCCAGACGCCUAACAAAACAACAACAAUCCAUGUUGCAGCAGUCUUCAAAAGCCAGCAGGAGUCUCAGGUUUCGGCACCCCUGCCCCGGCGGGGGGUACAAGCCUAAUAAGGCCCGCCCCGGCGGGCAUGCCCACUGCUAAAGGAAUUUUGCGACUUCAUGCGUUUUUCCACUUUCGCUCCAAAAGUCCGUCUUUCUUCACCACUUGCCUCCAUGACCACCCUACACAUAAAAUAACAUGAAACGAGUGAAAAUGAACACAAAACAAGAAGAUAACUACGAAUUUAAACUUGAAAUGAACAUCAAUUCGUGUAUAUUAAAUCCACUUAUCAUAUUCCCAGAGUUAAACCCUUUCCAUUUUUAUCCUUCGCCACUCCGUCUAGCUCCUUCUAUCUUCACUCCCCCUUUAAGUUUUCCCUUACUCUGGAACACAGAUAUCUGGUUAUAGAGCCAGGGUUUCAAGCCUUACUCGAACCAUCGAGCUUUUCUAACCUCGGUGUCCACUUGGUGUGGAGCAAACCUUGCCUGUUCAUUAAACUUGGCAGCGUAAUGGGGAACCAUCAUUUCCCCUUGUUUCAAAUCAAGAAACCGCAUUUCCAUACUCCCCUGCAUACUCGUGGGAAAGUAGUUCUCGAAGAAAAUCUCCUUGAACCGUACCCACGUUAUAUUCUCGGUACCAGCCUUAGCUUGAUUAGCCUUCCACCAAAAGUUGGCCUCUUCCUUCAUCAUGUAGGUUGCAAAAGCAACCUUCUGACCCUCAUCGACAUUUGCUAUGACAAAUGCCUUCUCGAUUUCUUUUACCCACGUUUGAGCUUGUAUAGGGUCCGUAGGUCCUUUGAACUCCGGUGAAUCGACACUCUUAAAAUCUUUAAAAGUAGUAGCUCAUACUACUCCAGGAUUUACGGGAAUAUUUGCCCCAUUUCUAUUAAACGCUGCUAUUAAUAAGUUAACAAAUUCCUGCAUUAGGUUUACCGGACCUCCCUCCGAUUGAUUUUCAUUAGCUUCUUGAUUACGUUGUUUCCUUCUUGGCGGCAUUUUGCUGUUACAAUAAACAACAUAUUUCGUUAUUAUUCGCUUCCUGUUAGUUAAUUAUUAUUCAAGAUUAAAUAAUAACUUUAACAUUCAUUACUCAAUAUGUUCCGAAAAAGGCUUAUAUUGAUUCAUUCAUUGUAGUAUAAUACUACAUUGUUUACAUUACACAACCUAAACUGCUUACAUUAUUAUCCCGCAAUUGGUUUUCCAAAAAUUGGGAUUUACAAAAGACUACCCUUUGAUAUACAAAUAUGGGUUUUACGUCACUAAUAUAUACACAAUAUUUACAUAUCUAAAACUACUCUAGUCACUACUAGAUUACAUCUGUCGUAAGGCAUUAUCAAAAUCUGCGGUGGCAAGAUCGGCGAUAACAUCAUGACUGAUAGUAUGCCGAGUCUGCCCAACCUCUAUUGGAUCCCUAGCUACCUGCUGUUGGAAAUCCUUCUGAGAACUCCUAUAUAUAUCGGACAUCCUCCCUAUCUUCUGUUUCUUUGUCUUUAGCUCCUGUUUGAGCUCAAAGACCUCUUGUUUUAGCUCAUGGACCUUGUCAUUGGCUAAAAGUCUCUCAUCAUGUUCCUGUGCCCACAUCGACUCCACAUCUGUCUUAUCCUCCACGACAGUAUGGAGUUCCUCUUUCAACUCCUUUACCUCCUUACAAUACUGGAUAUUACUAACCAAUACUGCCAUGAACAGUGCUCCCAUUAACUCCCCCGGAGUUAUCUCUUCCUCAGGUUCUGUAACAUUCUAGAAUUUUAGAAUUUUAAAUGUAAUUUAUAAAUAUUUAUUGAUUUAUAUAAAUAUUUAUUAGAUGUGUUAUUGAUGAAUACAUAUUUGUAUUUGUCUAAUUUGAUUUAAGUUGGUUAAUUAUUUGUUAAAUAAUUAAUUAAUAAGUUAAGGAAAUUAUUAUUAUAGUGAUAUUUCAAUUUGAUGGUUAAUUAGUGGUAUUGAGUUAUGUGAUUAAAUGAUUUAAUUAAUAAAUUGUUAUUUGAAUUAAUUAAUUAAGUAUGAAAACUUAAUUAAAAGAAGUGUGACAAAUAACUAUAUUAUAAUGAGUUAUUAAAAUAAAUUAAAGUAGUUUCAAUUUAUUUUGCCAAACAAGGCUUAAAUAUAUUAAGUCUCUAAGUUUUAAAUUAUUUGCCAAACAAAGCCCUAUGGCUUUUGGUUUUUAAAUUUUGAAUUUUAAUAAAUAAAAUAUAAAUAAUAUAUAUAUUAAUUUGGUAACUGAUAAAUUGAAUAGGGAUAUUGAGUAGGCGUCGGUUUUGUUUUAAACGGGCGUGCAUUGGUUUUAUUUUGUUUUUACGUAAAGAGUAUUUGGGUUUUGGCUCAAGAGAAAAGAAAAGGAAGAUUGCAGAAAUUGAGAGAGAAUAGAGUAAAUUGAGAGGAAAAGGUCUCUGAAGUUGCAAGGUUGUCUGUGACUAGCAAGGGUUAACCAAUAAAAAAAGGUAUUAUUCAAAACCUUUAUACCAUAUAUAUGUACGUAUAUAUGUUUAUAUGGCGUAAUUUCUAAAGUUUCUGUGAUCUUAAGUUUCACUAUAGUAUAAAGUUAUUUACAAAAAUUAUAUGUAAACCAUGCUUUACUAGUUGACUAUGAAAUUAUGGGUAUAAGUAAUGUUAUAAUUAUAUGUUGUAGGCUAAAUUAACGUUUUCAAGAAAGAAAUAGUUUUUACAGUGAACAUAUACUUAUGAACGUGAGUUGUGGAAUAUCAAAGGUUCUAUAUACGAUUUAUGCUAGUUAUGAAAUUGAAAGUCAUCUAUGUUAAUUGGGUAUGAGUUUCAGAAAAAUCAUAGGUUAAAGGAAUCAAAUUGGUUAUAACCAUGGAAAUACAGGUUACUGUAUUUUAUAUAUCGAUAAUGGAGUUUUGGUUUUUAAAACAGUGCAUAUAAUAAUUUAAGUUUUCUAAAAUUAUUGUUUAGUGGUUUAAACUAGUAUAUGCAUGUUGGGUAGUGUGUAUAUGUGUAAUUUAUAUAAGUUAGCAUGUUAAUUUAGAGGUUAGCAGUGUUAAAUAGACAGAAAUUAGUUGUUCUGUUCUCCGAUGGUUGGGUUCUGCAAGUUUCGGCGCCCCAGCGCCGAAAUUCGCGCCCUAGCGCCAGAAUUUCGCGCUCCAGCGCUGAAAUUCACGCCCCAGCGCCAAAUUUCGUGCCCCGACGCUACUGGUUAGCCUAGUUCUCGCGCCGCGGCGCCGGAACAGAAGUCUGGGUCGGACAGUUUUGACCUCCUGUAGUAAAAUGGCCAUAACUUUCUCAUACGAACUCCGAUUAAGGUUAUUCAAGAUGAUCCAAAAUGCGGACGAAUAGACCUACAACUUUCAUGCUUUAAGUUUUUUAAUUUGAGGUCUGUAACAGUAGUCAAAAUAGUCAUCUUUAGGACUGUUGUGUUUUCACGGGCAAUCGGAGGGCGUCGGGCAUGCACAUAUGCAUGUGUAGUGCUCCUGACGAUAAAAGAUGUUAUUCUAAGUUAUAAAACUUGAAUAUUAGUAAAUAUAAUGAUGUAUUAAAUAAGUUAUUUAAGCAUAGUAAGCAUACACAAGAGAGACAAAUCGAGCGUGUGACGAAUGAACGUCGAAACGCCGUGCCAAGUGUUAAUGAACUUAAAAAGUGUUUCAAUUCAAUUGAAAUGAAUAUUAUAAGAUAUGGAAUGGAUUUAAUAUAAAACCAAUAAGUAGUCCUAGCAAGACUUAAGCACUUGAAUGAACUUCGAGUUUGACUAAGAAGAAAUAUAGUGAGUCAUAAGUCGAAAAGUUAACACAAUCUAAUUGAACAUUGUGUGCUAAUUAAUAGGAAAGAUUAUGAGAUGUGGAGUAGAGUUUAUAUUACAAUUACUAUGUGUUGUUAUGUGACUAAUAGUUGAUGUGUAUGAUUAUAUAAUUGUGUAGGGCACGUGAAGUGCAGAUAACUAUAAGCUGUUAAUCUAUUAUUGGUAAACAACGAUCAAGGCAGGUCUUUCGGUUCCUAUUUGUUACGUGGACUUGAUGAACUGUUUUAAAUUGCAUGAUAUGUUAUACAUGUUGAAAUNNNNNNNNNNNNNNNNNNNNNNNNNNNNNNNNNNNNNNNNNNNNNNNNNNNNNNNNNNNNNNNNNNNNNNNNNNNNNNNNNNNNNNNNNNNNNNNNNNNNNNNNNNNNNNNNNNNNNNNNNNNNNNNNNNNNNNNNNNNNNNNNNNNNNNNGAUAUUUAGUUAUGAUGUAAGACUUUGUAUAGUCAUUUUGUUGUAACGAUUCAUGAUAUAAGAUUGAAUCAAAGAGAUGUAAUGUAAAGGUUGCGAUUCAGGGCAAGAAAGAAGGAAAUGUAUAAACGUUUUAAAUAUUCCACAAAUUUAGUGUUUUUAAUAUCGAAUAAUGAUGUAAAAUUAGAGAUUUAAUGUAUGGUUAACGACCGAAGUUGAGAUUUAAAUGGUAUAAAUUUUGGGGUCGUUACAGGUUCUAUGGGGUUAAAAGACACCACCUCCACCUCCUCUUUAGACAUGCCAUCGAACAUGGCCAUAAGGUCUAGGCUCUCUGAGUCUCCAGACUCAACUAUCACCACUUCAGGCUCUGCUGCUAUAGGAUUCGGUAUGAUUUCUACUUGAUUCAGCGACCCUUCACUGACUAUAUGUAUAUCCCUAUACAUUUCAUUUCCUCCUAACAUCUACAACAAAACAAAUAGUUUGAUUAGUACACGUCAGUAGAAUAAUAAAAACAUAUAACAUAUAUACUACAUUUUUAUAGGGUUAAUUUCCAUCUUUUAUUUCUUUAACUUUUCUUAAGGUUAUGACUUAAGGUUCUAAUCCCCCCCUUAAGUUUUAUAACCUAAUGCUUUGAUACCAACCUGUGACGACCCCAAAUCCGGGUAUCUUCCAACCCGGCAUAUGGUGCUACACGGUGCUACAGUUCACAUAUACAUUUAAUUGAAAUACCUCAAAAGAACGAAUAUGUCUUAUAUAUAUUCCAGAAUAAUAUUCCCUUCCCAGGUUCUUUAUAACCAAUACAUAAAUUAUUUGUCAUAAUAUCAAAUACAUUACAACAUUAAACCUAUACUAUUACAUAGACAGUUCAAUAGUCUGCCUUAGCCUUUUCCUUAACUUUACCGGAUCCUUCGGUCCGUUCGAUCUUAGCUGCAUUCAUAUGGUUCAAGCAAAAGUGAGCAAAACUAGCUCAGCAAGUACAACAAUUACAACUAAAUAGCAUGCUUAAAACAUAGGAAUCAUAUAUCUUCAAUAUCUGAAUAAUAGUUACGAAUACUAUUGAUAAUUCAAAAUAACACUUCUUUUUUCCUUCAAAACGUUUUACAAUGACAAUAUUCAGUAAAACAUCAAUUCCGGUCUAAGACCAUGAGCAUUUCAUACUUUAUUUGAAAAGGACAACCCGACACUAAGUUCGUAAGUCCGACAUAUCUUACAAACACGUCUAGGUGAUCAGCUUAUAGUACUCUAUGUUGAUCAACACUACAUUCUUUAAACAUAUAUACGUUUAAGUUGUGGCAACCUCACGUGCCUGCCGUUUGACGAUAAAACAUUUUAGCAUACAGAGUCUUCAUUUGAAAACCAUACCAACAUAGUUUGGUAAAACAUUGACAGUACUUUGAUAGAUUACAGGAAAUCCAACAUAUCGUAAGUCUGGCCGAAAGAAUUGGCUUUGACUUCAUCAUACAUCAAUUCAUGCGUAAGAAUACAUGAAUCACAAAGCUUGUCCAGAUUGAACUGAAACAAGGGUUAGAACACUUGCCUUCAGCGUCUGCUACUGUUAUUACACAUUCACUUUAAGUCUUUAAUGUCUCUACAAUAUAUGAUCAUAUAACAUAACACAUUAGGUCAUGAAUAAAAAUUCAUGGUUCCUAAUGAAUCUUACCUUCUUCUGAAUCUAAUCAUGUAUUAGAUUUGUUACUUUUGGUUCCGGCUUUUCAUUAUGCUUUACAUCAUCAUUACAUUCACGUUCAAUUGAUUACCUUCAACCUUUAGUUAUCACACUUAAUGUUUAACAAUGUUUUUAAAAAUGUUACUUUAAGUUUUAUUAAUGUGUUAGUUCAUUAUCUCAUUAACCAACUUUUCCUUUUUAUGCUUACAAGCCUUCAUUACUAUGCUUGGUUUAGUGUUGGCAUUGCGGCGCCAACUUCCCUUCUUUGACUCGCGUUACGGCACGGGUUUGCAGUGCACAAGCCCCGACCUCGGUGCUGCGGCGCCACUCUUUCUUCGUUGUGCCACGUUGCGACGCCAACUAACAGUGUACUAUGGUUCGGCCUCGCACUACGGCGCCGACCUUUCUUCUUUGAGUCACGUUGCGGCGCAGACUCUGUGCCUCAGAAAAAUUUGACAGAUUUUCUACUUAGUGAACUUCCCGGACUCCAAAUUUGAUCAUUUUAAGUCUGAAUUGGCUCGUUCAAAAGCUAUUAGCUCACAGUUCACAUACUCUAAGUGUUCAUGCAGAAAUUUUACAUUUUUGAUUUCAUUAACUUGAAAUUCACUUAUGAGUUCAUUUUUGACAAAAACGAUAAACAUCCGUGAACGUUCAACGCUCGUUUCUUUGUUCUAAGUCGGAAUUCGAUCAUUUUUGAGUCCGCAACUCUAUAAUGCCAAAUAAGACUUGUUCCCAUUGAAAACCAACAUUUCCGAGCUUAAUAUCAAAAUUCGACUUCCAUUUUGAGAAUUUCACGAAUUCGAAGAUUAUCGUCUAAUCGUGUGAAUUCCGGCAUAACCUCAUUACUUAUGAUUUGUUCAUUGUUUCAAAUGGAUUUGAUCCAUCAUAUUGACAUCUUAACCUACUCAUUUCAUUAACUUAUUUUCAUGAUAAGUUAUUACUUGUUCUUCAUGAGCUUAUAACUUAUCAAAUUAUAAACUACAUAUAAUUUCAUUUCUCAUGACUGAUGAUAGCCUAUGUCUUCUAACCAUCAUUCUUACAUACUUUUAUCAUACUAACUUCAUUCAUGUAAACAUGUUACAAGUCUUACAAGUUCUUCUUUAGUUCAUAACUUAUCUAUGAACAAAGUGCUUAUUCACGGCUUAUUAAGAAUUAAGUCUUUAGAUUAUUCAUUCUUAUGAUUUAUUAGCAUACAUGUCCAUUAAUCCACACUUCUCUUAUCAACCUAUAAUGGUAGAGAUGGAAGACUAAUAACAUAGGAGGCUUACCCUUGAUGAACAAGCUUUCUUCUUCUUUUCUAACAAAUGAUAGACUAGCUUAUUCUUGCUUAUUCUCUAUAACAAUUAAGUUAAAAGUGUUGGAUAAAAAUUAACAAACAACAAAUUAAAUCCUAAGCUUGCUAUUUAUAGGAUUUCCUAAGUUAGGGUAAUUUGGUCAUUAGGUCAUCCCACCUCCUUAAGCACCUCCUUACUAUUCAUUACUUCUUAAUUAAGUUAUCUUGCUAGCCACCUACUUUACUUGGCCAUUACAUUAUUUACUUGGUCACCACGUUAUUUUCUUGAUCACCAAGAUUAACCAUAUGACCAUGGGUUGCCCCAUGGGUCACCUUAACCCAUUGGAUCAAUAAUUUGGGCUUAGGUUUAAUUAACUUAACUAAAGUUUAUGGGCUUGCAUUAAUUUACUUUGGACUUUACAUUUAUAACCACUUUGACUUUUAUUAACAAAUCUUUGGGCUUUCAUAUUAAUUCUUAUUGGACUUGCACAUCCUACAUAAUCCAACAAGUCCAUUUCAUUUGGCUUAAAGCCUUAGAACGUAUACUAUACGUAUUAUUCUCGUAUUCUAACUCGUAAACUAAUUCAUAAUAUACGAUAUAACAUCAUUCAUACAUACUCGUAUAAUACUUCGUAUCAUACUCGUAUUCAUUACCUCAUACAAUACAUAUGUAUCAUACAAUCAUCACAUUAGCUUCUAACGCUUUAUUUUCCCUAACUUUCACAAAUUAAGUCCGCAUGCGAAAAAUUACAUUUUCCAUACUUGAAUUAUUAUUACAUAAUCCAUCUUACAUCGAUAUUCUAUCGUUACGUAUUUCUCGGAAGUUCAAAAAUAAUUCCCGAGCAGAAAUCGAUGAAUGGUGUUUUUUGGAAAAUUUCUCUGAAAGCUUUUAUUUUCGUCUUGGAAAUUCAAACACUUUAAUUCCUUCACGUAGUUAAAAUACUAUAACUUUUCGACGUUUCUAGGUUAUAGAACGACAUUCAUCUUACUAACACAUAAUAAUAACAAAUAAUAUAAUUUUAUUCUUUAUUUAAUUAAAUAAAAUUAUUUUACAAAAGAUCCGAAUUUCUCGGUCGUUACACCAAACAACAAUAAAAUCUAAUAUAAUAAAUCACCAAUCAAAACACAACUAAAACCAAAACUUCAACCAAUUAAAUCUCAAAAGUAAAAAAACAAUCAAAUCUAACCUAUUGAGAUACACCCAUUUGUUGUAUCACCAAAUUCGUGCUACACAACAACCAAAAUAAUAAUAAAAAUUUUAGAAUUAUAUGAUUUUAAGAAAUAUAACAACAAUCAACAAAUUCACACCAAGUUUACUUACAAAAUGAAACCCAUUAGGUCAAGGAGCAAGUCCAGUAACCUUUGUGAUUGCAGAUGUUAGUGAAGUUUUCCCAUGACCAACAUGUCCAAUGGUACCAACAUUCACAUGAGGCUUUUUGGAUCAGAAAAGAAAAAGAAUAAAUAAAAAAAAUGAUAUAUUAUAUAUGUGGUAAUGCCAUGGUCAUGCAGAGAACAUUAUAAAUGCAGACUUCAGAAAGACAGCCAUACAUAAAGUAAUACAUAAAGAUUUAUAUGUAUUAUAUUACGUGAAAGUUGUGAAAAUUAUGAAAUAAAUAAAUUUUUUACUCUCAAUAAUAAUAAAAGUUGUAAUGAAAUUUAACAAUGUUAUAAUGUUGAAUCUAACAUAUCUAAUGCCAAUGAAUAAUUUCGACCCCCCUUCAUAACUUUUCUGGAUGUUCCCUGAUCAUGGUCAAAAGUAGACAGAUCAGUACUGUGAUGCCCCUAAAUUUAGACCACACUCGUCUCAAGUAAUAUAGUAAUAAGGGUACUCAAUGUAGUUUUAUAUUUCUCAAGGUACAAUAAUAAGGAUAGUUCAAGAUAACAAGAAGUAUCAAUGAUUAUCAACAAUAGUCGCUAUGGACAGAAAAUAUCAAUAAUAUUCAAUGAUUAAUCAAUUUAAGAUUUCAAAGUAAUGAAUACUGAGCAGUCACUAAGGACUAAGAACUUUUCCUAGAAUUCACAAUAAUAAACUGAUAAUUCCAUAAAACGAGUACAACAGGUGAUCAGCCUAAAGUACCCUAUGUCAAUACAUUACAUUUAAUCUUUCUCAAGUGUGCACGUCGGUUUCUCGACAAUAUAUAAUUCCCCUACAAAGAGGGUUGUUCAUCUUAGUUAUAAGAGUUCGCACCAAGUAAAUUUGGUUUGGAUAGCUUUCGAUCAAUAUCAAUAGUCUAGCCGAAGCAAUGGCUUAGACAUUUUUCUUUCACAGUACAUAUAUGAAUAAUUAUCAUUCAAAAUCAAGGUUUGUAAACAAUUUCAUUUCUAGAUUACGAAGUAUUAAACUUUCAAAGUUCUACUUGUACGAUCAAUAAUAGUAUACGUUCAAGUAAUGCUCCAAAAGAGUAAGGUUCGAGUACUUGCAUUCCAUAUAUGAAUCAAAUAAAAUUCGAUAACUUGCACAAAUCUAAAUUUGUGUAAGUUAGGAAAAUUGCUCAAUGUAAAAGAGUUCGGAUACUUGCCUUAUGCGUAGUUUACCAAAGUAAAGCUUAACACCCUUCCAAAGAAUUAUAAUAUCCUAUUCAUGUAUAAUCACAUUAGUUAUACAAGUUCAAUAUGUAUACCUAUUAUCUUAAAUUGAUUCUGAUACACAAAUGAAAUUCAUUGAUACUAACAUAUAUUGCUAGUCUUCUCUUAGUCUUAUGAUCUCUUAUGCAUGUUACCACAUAGCAUGAGAAUCAGUUCUAAUACACUAUGACAUUUAAAGGGCAUAGUUUGAAAUCACAUUUUGACUUUAAAGUUGUAAACACUAAUUCAUUAUAGGAUCCUUUCAAUAACAUGCUUAUUAACACAUGAAUACUAUACUGGACAUGUAUUACAGAUUGGGGUAACAAUAUAAGCAUGCAUCAUUCCCCAAAUUAAUAACAGAAAAUUGAUCUCACUGCAGCGUGGUGCGACUGCGCUUGGUUUGUACUAAGGAGUGGCGCGGUCGCGCUGCUCCUGGUGCAAACCAAGACUGCUACACAUGUUAAGUCACCAAGCAUGCAUAGACAAUUUAUUUACUAUACUACAAGCUCUCAUAUAUACAUUUUGGACCAUAUAAGCAUGCUCACAAAUUCCUAUAUAGUUUAUCAAGAUUGUAAUUACAACUUUAAUUUUUCAUUAGUCAAACUUAUCCAAGCAUACAAGAUGAGUUCACAUAGUCUAAAUCAUGCUUUCAUAAUCACAUAAUAGAUCACAUAAGCAUAUCUUUAAGUUUAAAACUUAGUGUAUACAUAGUUCGUUUACACAUAGCCAAUAUAGUCUUUUCCUUAAAAUUUCCCUUUUUAAUCAUGCUUGAAUAUCUUAUAUUAACUUCAACAAUAUAACUAACAUAUUGUCACAUGUCAAGACAUAUCAGAACGCAAUACACUCGGAUCCAAAGUCAGAACAUGCUUUGCACAAUAUUUAUCAAAAUUAGUUUCCAACACUUUAAGUCUUCUUUGAAUAUUCAAACUAAAAUCAACUAACACGACUUACUAUACCCAUAGCAACCUCAUUUUACAUUUUAGGGUUAUUUAUAUGCAUAUUCUAGCCAAAGUAGCAUGAUCAUCAUCAUAUUGGACCAUUAAAGCAGUAUCUGAGAAAAACACCCCGCGCGACCGCACGGGAUUAGGCAAUAGAAGUGGCGUGGCCGCACCACUUCGUUUAGAAACAAAAUACAUGGCUCUAUUUUAGCAGAGCCUUAGCAUAUGCAUAGCCCAUUCUAAAUCCAGACCAACAACAAUACUUCACAGCAUACAUAUCAACUCAUAUUACACAUACAUGACCACUUAGAAUGAGACAAGAUCACAAGAUUACUACACAUGACUUGCAGUUGGCGCAGCCGCGCGAUCAUGUACUAUAGAAGUGGCGUGGCCGCGCCACUUCGAGCAGAAUGAAAAAUAAUGGCUAUGCAUUUGCAGAGCCUCAACAUAACCAAUGUCAAACCUAUACCCAGACCAUAUACAAUGCUCCUAAACAUGUAUAUAAGCUCAGAUAACACAAUGGCAUGCUAAUCCAUACCAAUUAACAGAGAAUUCAACAAUUACUAGAAUUUGACAAAACUUCAAAAUUAAGAACAUAAACAGAAAUUAUACCUCUUGAUGCUUAAUUUUGAACUCCCUACUUCUUUGAUUAAACUCCUUCAAUGCUCAAUAACUCACACUCUCUAAUGUACUUAUCAGACAAUUUUAAGUAACUGAGAAAUGAAGAAGGUGGCUUUAAUUUAUAGAGAAUGGAUUAUCCAGUUCAUGGCCUUGCACCAAGGUUUAAUUUAGUGGAAAACGGAAGAGAACAAUGGGUAGAAGGGAGUUGGCCAACUGCCAAUUCAUAGCCAUCAUCACCCUAGAUUUGUAGCAGCUUAGUUCACACAAGGAGGAUAUAGGCUACUAUUUGAGCACUGAUUUUGGGACAAGGUCUAAAUCCCAACAAAUAAGCUUUGGUUGGUUCCUUUAAUUCCCAAAAUGAAAUUUUAAUGUACAAUUGUUACUAUAUUAGGAAAAUUAGGGAUUAUUUAUGUACUCACAUCAUAUAAUCCAUGUACAUUAGUCUAGUCAAACUAAUAUUUAUAACAGGUAUGAACUCCAUUAAAUUGGUCACUUAACAAUUUAAUACCUCCUUAAAACUUUAUUAUUUCAAUUAAACUCACUUAUUGCAAUAAUUUGUAAUUCUUUGAUAGAGUACAUCUUUUAAUGUUUCCACACAUACUUACUGUCACAUAAGCAAUUAUUUAUGUCACUUACAAUUCUUUUCACUUUACUAUAUAGUUUCUAUACCUAAUAUAGUUACACUAAAGCAUCACACUACACUUUCUUUUUAAUGUAUGAACUAUAUGUUAACACAUAUCUUACACACAUCAAUUAAAUGAUAUAAUUCUAAUUAUGUAAUUAAUUUUCUCACAAUAAAAAAUUAAUUAAUAAUAUACUAUUAAUUAAUCCUUCACUUCUUAAUUAAAUUAAUUCCUUAAAUCUCCAUUCUCAUGCCACACAAGGCAUUUUCACAAUUCUCAUCACAAAUCCACAUUCUUAUAGAUUCAAUUUAUUUUAAUUGAAUUAUUCAUUUCACAACACAUCAAUAUUUAUUUUCAAAUAAAUAUUCCUUUUUCUCAUUAACUCAAAAUAAUAUUUAUUCAUGAAAUUCAUGGUUCUUACAUCCUCCCCCCCCCCCUUUAUAAAAAUUUUGUCCUCGGAAUUAGUACAAGGUUACAAGAAUAGAUAGGGAUAGUCCCUUCACAUCUUAUCUUCUAAUUUCCACGUGGCCUCUUCGGCGUCGUGGUUUCGCCAAAGUACUUUUACAAAGGAUAUGAUUUUAUUUCUUAACGUCUGUUCUUUCCUAUCUAGUAUCUGGACAGGAAUUUCUUCAUAUGCCAGAUUCUUCUCGACUUGAAUGGGCUUGUACAAAAUCACGUGUUUGUAGUCAGGCUUGUAUGGACGCAACACAUGGAUGUGAAACACGUUAUGGAUGUGCUCCAACUUAGGUAGUAAUGCAACUUUGUACGCCAUUUCGCCCACUCGCUUCAGUAUCUCGAAUGGUCCAAUGAAUCUCGAACUCAAUUUUCCCUUCUUGCCGGAUCAUAUUUUUCCCUUCCAAGGAGAUACUUUUAAGAAAACAUAACUUUCAACUUCAAAGUCGCGGUCCUAUCGAUGUAAGUCUGCGUAUUUCUUCUGGCGAUCUUGUGCAGCUACUGGUCUAGCUCUUAUCAAUGGCGCCACAUCUACGGUUUAUUGAACUAAUUCAGGUCCUAGCAUCUUUCGCUCCCCAACUUCAUCCCAACACAACGAUGUUCGACACUUUCUCCCGUAAAGAGCUUCAUACGGUGGCUUGCCUAUACUUGCAUGGUAACUAUUAUUGUAUGCAAAUUCCACUAUGGGUAGAUGAUCAUCCCAACUUCCCUUGAAGUCCAUCACACAAGUUCUAAUCAUGUCUUCUAACGUUUGUAUCAUUUACUCACUUUGUCCGUCUGUUUGCGGAUGAUAAGCAGUACUCAACCUCAGUUGUGUUCCCAUCCUCUCUUGUAAGCUUUUCUAGAAUUUUGACGUGAAGCGCGGAUCUCGGUCAGAGAUAAUUGAUACCGGCACUCCAUGUCGUGAAACAAUUUCCCUCACGUACAGAUUCGCUAACUGAUUCAAACUAUAUCGAAUCUUGAUUGGUAGAAAAUGUGCCGUCUUCGUUAGUCAAUCUAUAAUAACCCAAAUGGCAUCAAAACCUUUCUGCGUGACUAGAAGUCCCACCACAAAGUCCAUUGUAAUGUGCUCCCAUUUUCACUCCGGUAUUUCCAAUGGUCGGAGUAAAUCAAUCGGCCUCUGGUGCUCUGCUUUGACCUAUUAACACGUAAGACAUCUACUAACGCACUCCGCGAUUCCUCGUUUUAGAUUGGGUCACCAAAAAUGUUUUCGUAAAUCUUGGUAUAUCUUCGUGUGUCCUGGAUGAAUGAAAUGCGUCGUAUUGUGUGCCUCAUGCAAAAUUUCUUCCCUCAACUCGGUUACCGCUGGCACCCGCACUCUCCCUUCGAAUCUCAAAAUACCAUUUUUAUCCAUUUGGAAUCUCUCCUCCUCAUUUUCUGCGAUCCUCUUCCUGGCUCUCUCGCACUCUUCAUCCUAUUCUUGUGACUCCUUUAUUUUAUCCAACAAGAUUGGAUGAGCUUCAACUGCAAACAAUCUCUCUUCGGACCUCUCUAGUCCAUUUACUUUUAUCUAUAAUUUUUCCAUAUCCUUUAUUAACUCCUCCUGAGUUGUCAAUUGACAUAACUUCUCCAUUCCUUUCCUACUUAGUCGGCCACUACGUAUGCCUUCCCUGGGUGAUAAAGAAUAUCACAGUCAUAAUCCUUAAUCAGUUUAAACCCCCUUCUUUGAUGCAUGUUCAACUCUUUCUGUAUGAAGAUAUAUUUCAGACUCUUGAGAUCCGUGUAUAUCUCACAUUUUUCUCCGUACAAAUAGUGUCUCCAAAUCUUCAACGCAAAAACUAUUGAUGCUAACUCUAAAUCAUGAGUAGGGUAUCAGUUUUUGUAAUCCUUCAAUUAUCGUGACGCAUACGCAAUGACUUUGCCAUGUUGCAUUAGCACACAACCCAGUCCUCUAUGCGACGCAUCACUAUACACCACAAAUCCUCCCAUAUCAUCUGGUAAUGAUAAUAUCGGAUCCUUGCAUAAUCUCUUUUUUAGCUCCUAAAAACUCUCCUCACAUUUCUCCGUCCACAUGAAUUUCAUCGCCUUCCUCGUUAGAUUGGUCAAUGGGGUUGCUAUCUUAGAAAAAUCCUGGAUAAAUCUUCGAUAGUACCCAGCUAACCCUAAGAAAUUUCUUACUUCGGUUGGCGUCUUCGGUUGCUCCCAAUUACUCACCGCUUCUACUUUCGCAGGGUCUACAGAAAUUUCAUCCUUAUCCACUACGUGUCCUAAGAAUUGAACUUUCUCCAUCCAAAAUUCACACUUAGAAAAUUUCGCAUACAACCUCUCUUUUCUUAGUGCCUCCAAAACCACCUUAAGAUGUUUGACAUGUUCUUCUUCCGUCUUCGAGUAGAUCAAGAUAUCGUCGAUGAAAACUACUACGAAUAUAUCUAAGAAUGGCUUGAAGACUCGGUUCAUCAAGUCCAUAAACGCUGUCAUAGCAUUCGUUAACCCAAAUGACAUCACUAGAAAUUCAAAAAUGUUCGUAACGAGUUUAAAACAUCGUCUUUGAUAUGUCCUCUUCCCGUACCUUAAACUGAUGAUAUCCCGCUCGCAAAUUUAUCUUCGAGAAACACUUGGCUCCCUUCAGUUGGUCAAAAAGGUUGUCUAUCCUUGGUAACAGAUAUCUAUUCUUAAUCGUUACUCUGUUCAAUUCCUGAUAAUUGAUACAGAGCCUCAUCGAUCCAUCCUUCUUCUUUACAAACAACAUUGGUGCUCCCCAAGGAGACACAUUUGGUCGUAUGUAACCCUUAUCCAGAACCUCUUACAAUUGUAUCAUUAAUUCCUUCAUUUCUACUGGCGCCAUACGAUAUGGAGCUUUUGAAAUUGGUGUCAUUCCUGGUGCAAAGUCUAUUAUGAAAUCAAUUUCCCUGUCUGGCGGAAGACCAGUCAGAUCGUUUGGAAAUACAUAUUGAAAUUCCCUUACUACGGAUAUAUCCUGAAUUUCUACUCCCUUCUUUCGAGUAUCAACAAUGUAUGUUAAGUAAUCUAGACAUCCUUUCCUUAAUAAUUUCUUGGCCUGCAUCAUCGUAAGAUAACACGAUUGCUUAAGCAAUGAGCUACCAUAAAACACCACCUUAGACUUAUUUGGAGUCUAAAGGUUCACACUUUUAUUCUGACAAUCUAUUAUCGCAGCAUGGUUAUACAACCAAUCCAUUCCUAAUAUUAUGUCAAACUCUCCCAAUCUUAUCGGGAUCAAGUCUAUGCUUAGUUCAUAAUUUUUAAUGUUUGCACGACAAUUUCUGUAAACAUAUUCCACAGGGAUUACUUCCUUAUUUGCAACUUCUAUGUUCAAGGGAUUUCCUAAUCGUUCACGGGGUAAAUUAAGUCUACUAGCAAAUUCCUCCGAUACAAAGGAACAAGUAACACCCAAAUCAAAUAAUACGUAGGCAUUUAUAUCAUUGAUCGGGAUGAUACCUGACACCACGUCCUUCGUAGCCACUACGUCUUGGACAGUCAUAUUAAACGUUAUGGCAGUUGGACGGUUGGAUGGCGUCGGUCCGCCAAUCAUCAGCUUGCCACUUCCUCCUUGCUGGUUGCUCCCCCCCGCCGCUUCCUUUCUUUAGGCAGUCUUUGAUCAGAUGGUCUGCAGAGCCACAUGCAAAAUAACCCUUAAUCUUCUUCAACUUUGGGAAGUUUGGCGCAAUAUGCCCCCCUUGGCCACAGUUGUAACAAACACUACGCCCUUUGCAACACUCGCCCUGGUGAUACCUUCCACACUUUGGGCAUCCCUCCGCCUUCUUCUUAAACUCUCCUCAAAACUUUCUCACUUGAUUGUUGAAAUUAUUGUUGUUGUUGUUCUCCCACUUUCUCUUUCCUAAAUUGCUACCUCCGCUGCUGCUUCUUCCCCGGCUCUCUCAUCCGGUACUCUUACCAUUCUUCUCUUUGUUAUACAGACUUAAAGCUUCACUUCCUCCCUCUACAAUAAUAGAUUUUUCCAACAAUAUUGCAAAAGAAUCAAUGUGAAGAACCGAUACCUUGUUAAGCAACCAAGGCUUCAGUCCUUGUUCAAAAUGCCUAGCUUUCCUCUCUUCAUCUACCACCUGGUGUUCAGCAAACCAGGCUAGUUCAUUGAAUUUUGUCGCGUAUUGCGCCACCAUCAUAUCUCCCUACUUAAGUUCUAAGAACUUUACCUCCAUCCUAUUCUUCAUGCUCUCCGGGAAGUAAUUCUCAAAUAACAGAGUCUUAAAUCUUUCCCAUGUUACUAUUGCUUGUCUUUCUCUCUGCCGAUUUGCUUCCCACCAGUAGUUUGUUUCGUCUCUCAUCAUGUAGGUUGGAAAUGUCGUCUUCUAGUCUUCACCCACACGAGCGAUGGUGAAAGCCUUCUCCAUCUCUUUGAUCCACGUCUGCGCCACGAUCGGAUCAGUAGUGCCUACGAAUUUUGGGCGUCCUACACUCCUAAAAUCCUUAAAAUUUGUAACGGGAGCUGCUUGGGGAAUAGGUGGUACUAGUUCAUUUCUUCACCUAAGAGCUUCUCCUAACAAAUCUACCAGCCUCUGAAUAGGGUCUACCGGCCCUCUUUCAUCUUUAACCGACUCUUCCGGUGCAGUUAUUCUACGUCUGGGCGAUAUUUUUCUGCAUCACAAAAUUUUCAUUUUUACUAUUAUCUUAUUAUAUUAUUUAAACAUAUCUCAAAUAAGAAUAACAUUUUAUAACACGUUCUUGGAACAAGAUCAUUUAGAUUCAUAUGCCAAAUUGUUACAAUUACAUGAUCCUUUCUAGCAUACUUCUAUAAAUGACAACCACAUGUCCCCCUUAUCACAAAAGACGGGGACAAUACCAACAUACUACCCCUCUAACAUUUUUCAAAAGUUGGGCUUUACAUCUAUCUCACAUCUUACACAAAAGACUGAGAUUUCAACAACAAAUUAAACAUCAUAUCUAUAUAAUAAAAUAGAACCUAUUUUGAAUCUUUCAUUUGACAAAGCACAAGGACGGUUCAGAUUCAUUCUAACUUAAUUCUUUCAACUUAAUCUAAAGGCUCAUAUUUCUUCAUUCCCAAAUAAAAUUCACCCCUACACCCUACUCUCUCUCAUGUUCACACACAAAAUCUUUCUCUCUCCUCUCUUCUUCACACACACAAACAAAUAAUAAUAAUAAUUAUUAUAAUAAUUAUAAUAACAGUAAUAGUAAUAGUAAUAAUAAUAAUUAUUAUAAUAAUUAUAUUAAUUAUUAUUAUUAUUAUAGUACUAAUAAUAAUAAUAAUUAUUAUAGUACUAAUAAUAUUAAUAAUUAUUAUUAUUGUUAUUAUUAUUAUUAUUAUAAUAGUAAUAGUAAUAGUAAUAAUAAUAAUAAUAAUAAUAAUAGUAAUAAUAAUAAUUAUUAUUAUUAUAAUUAUAAUAGUACUAAUAAUAAUAAUAAUUAUUACUACUACUACUACUACUACUACUACUACUACUACUACUACUACUACUACUACUACUACUACUACUACUACUAUUACUAAUAAUAAUAAUAAUAAUAAUAAUAAUAAUAAUAAUAAUAAUAAUAAUAAUAAUAACAACAACAACAACAACAACAACAACAACAACAACAACAACAACAACAACAACAACAACAACAACAACAACAACAAUAACAACAAUAAUAAUAACAAUAAUUAUUAUUAUUGUGUAUUAUAGUGGUGUGGUGAAUUAUGAUAAUUGUUAUUGAUGAUUGUAAGUUUUGUAGACAAGUUUAGAUUUUUCUGAAUAUCUAUUUUUUAAAAAAAAUUAAUUAUUGUGGUAGUGUGGUAAAUUAUGAUAAUUGUUAUGUGUGAUUAUAAGUUAUUUUAAGUUGUAAAAAGUUUUUAGGUAAUAUAGUAUUUUUCAAAUUUUAAUCUAAUUUUUCGUUACGUCGUGCCUUCAGCCACAUGCAAGUACUAGUAUAUAAAUACAAUACUACAACCACUAAGUUUCUACAUUUAGACUCAAUCUAACAUUCUACGCUCCACGGCGCUCUGGUAUUCCUUCUGAGUAAUGUGCACCAUCACACCUCGGCUUAUGGUGUGUCGGGUCUGUCCCUGCUCUACCGGGUAAUGAUGUAUGUGAGACCCCAAAUUUUAUGAAUAAAGAUUUAAAUUUCUCGAAUUUUUUUUUUAAAUAUUAUGGUGUGGAUUUGAUAUAAUGUUAUAGUUGUGGGUAAUAUUUAUAAAUUUUUUCAAAGUAUGCAAGUUGUUAUAAAAUAUUCGUUUGGUCGGGGAAUAUUCUUUUUUUUGGGGAAUAUCCGUACGACGACACAAUCAUUGGUGGACCCCACAAUGGAAGUAUUGUCGUAGUUAGAAAAUGACAGAAUUAUCUUUUUAUAAAAAUAACGGCGAAAGUGUUACCGUUAAAAUUGUUGAAUUACCCAGUAGUAAAAGUACGGUAAUACGCGUGGUUGCAUAGUAACACACGGUAUUGAUUUAUGAUGCUUAUGUAAGAAGUCCCUCAGUUAUACUCAAUUAUUACUACAGUAAUUGUUGCGUCAUAUCUCUCAUAUUAUUGAUUCAAUUAUUGUCACAGUAUCAAUAUUUUAUAUUAUUAAAUCAAUAAUUGAGACAACAACUGUGACGCCCCCAAAAUAGGUAUACAUCACCUAUUCUGAGUCGCCAAAUACAUGGUACAGAAUAUAAAUACAAUCUUAAUUAUAUAACAAGAGAGCCGUGAGUUUAAAUACAAAUACUGUCUUCUAGACAAUAUCCACUCUCAGAAUAAGUCCUCAUUACAUUUAUUGUCACACUAUUUAACAGAAUAGUGAGGACUACUAGCUAAUACUAUCAUCCGGACCAUCACUCUCUUCCCUGACUCGUCCCAGCUACGUUUUCAUUUCCUGAAGAGAACAGUGAAAGAAAGGGUGAGCUCAACUAGCCCAGUAAGAAAUAUUAUAACUAAGAUAAUGAAAAAUAAAUUAUCAUUAGCCUUCAACAGUGUUAAACUGAUAAAAUAUAACAACAUCAAGUUUAACUGCAGCGGAACAAGCAAUCCAUUAAAAGAGUCAAGUAGAGAAUAAAAUCUACUAUCUUUUAUGAUUUAAAAGGUUUUUCAUCACUUUUAUCGCUGAGACUCAGCUUAAUAAAUAAUUCACAUCACCGAAUCACCCCUGCACUACGGCCAAGGAUAUUCUUUAGUAUCACGACCACAAAUUAUCCAUNNNNNNNNNNNNNNNNNNNNNNNNNNNNNNNNNNNNNNNNNNNNNNNNNNNNNNNNNNNNNNNNNNNNNNNNNNNNNNNNNNNNNNNNNNNNNNNNNNNNUCAACAUGAUACUGCUUUGUGCAGUAAAAUUCAAGAAUGCUCAGAAGAAUAUUUCCAUGAAAAGAUACUAGAUGAAGCGCAAAUAUCAAGAAUAUUCCACUAAUUUCAUGGAGUAUAGAAGUCAAAACUUUAACGAACUGAGUAUAAUAAGGAAUGGAAUAACAAAAGAAAUCACCAGGCAUGCGAUAGACCACACAAGUAGGUUAUUCCAACAGAAUAAUAAUUAACGGAACCAGGUCUGGCGUAAAACGCAUAGACAGGAUAUUCCAACAGAAUAAUAAAGAUGGAAUCAGGUUCGGCGUAAAACGCACAUACAGGAUAUUCCAACAGAAUAAUAAAGACGGAAUCAGGUCCGGCAUAAAACGCACAGACAGGAUAUUCCAACAGAAUAAUAACGAAUGGAAUAACAGAAGAAUUUCACCAAGUAUAGGGUAGCCCGCGUAUACCGGUUAUUCCAACAAAAUAAUAAAUAAUGGAAUAACAGAAGUUCUCUUCAUGAAUACAAAAGGAAUAAUACCCCUUACGAGUACAACAAAUAAUAUUCCCUACCUUAAGAAGAAUAAUACAAGAUAUAUGAGUAGUGAAGUAGCAGAAUACUUUUCUUCUUUCUCUCCAUAGUUUAUCUCUCUAGAGUUUCAGUGAAUUUCUAAGAAAUAAUGAAGGAAUGAGCUUCUAUUUAUAAAAAAAUGGAUUGCAUAGUAACUAACUCAUGAACGGUCCAGAUUGAUUUACUUUAAUCUGACGGUCUAUAUUUAAAGCAAAAUCUUUUAAAUAAAAUAUAAUAUAUUCUAUUUAUAAUCUAAUAAAACGAAUAACUUUAUAAAAGAUUUUACUAUGUAAACACUAUGCAGGCACUAUGCAACUACUAUGCAUAAUAAAAUAUAAUAUAUUCAAAUUAUUGUCUAAUAAAACAGAUAACUUUAUAAAAGUAUUCUGUUUUAUAUAAAAAGAUUUUACUAUUAGCCUAAUAAAACGAAUAACUUUACAAAAGUAUUCUGUUUUAUAUAAAAAGCUUUUCUGUUUUAUUACAUUAAUAAUACCAAUAAAAUAAAACUGAGUGACUUAUCACAUAAGCAUCAAUAAUUAAUAACGUGUGCUACUAUGCAACUGAUAAGUAGGUUUUAUACCUACUUAUCCGGUAUCUGUUACUUGAAUUAUUUGCUUAAUCUCAUGUUUUUCAGUUACUUUUCAUGCAUUUUGUGUUCGUUUUGUAGAUUAUAUGCUUGGGAGUUGAAAUCAUAAAGAAUUGGUAUGAAAAUGUAAAGAAAAGCAAUCCGGACAUCGUUUGGGAUUUUACGCUUAUUUCAUGUUCUUGGUUUGGAACUUGGAUUAUAUUUUAGAGCUUCUUCUUAGCUUUCCGGAACAUCUUGAAUCAUCAAAAUCGGAGUUCGGAUGCAAGAGUUAUGACAUUUGUACCAACGGACGUCGAACGUCACUGUUUUGGGUGGCCAUUUGCACAGCAGUCACUUCCAGCCCAAUUUCAACCUUCAUCCGUUCGUUAUUUCUAAAAUCUCAAAGAAUGAAAGUUGUAGAUCUCGUCGAUAUCUUCGAUUUGAUAGGUGGCAGACUUCGUAACUCUUCUUGGAUCAAAGGUUAUGGCCGUUUUCCCAAGGGACGUCAGAGCAAGAAAAUUUUCCAUCACAAAACCGCCGCUGGGGUGGGCGUACCAGCCACAAGUCAGAACCCUAGCCCGCCGCGGUGGGGGUAGCCUAGAAAAUGAGCGAAAAGUGCGAAUUUUGGUCCAAUUUGAGUUCGGAAAGGAUUGUUUCGAUCCGAUUGACACAAGAACUUCUAAGAGAACUUCCAAGAGGACUUAAAGACAUAUGAAGAGACUUAUAAAAGGAGGAGAAUCACAAGGAUUAGGAGAGAUUAGAGACUAGAUAGAGGAUUCCAUUAGAUUAGAUUAGAGUAAAUUAGAUUAAAACACUAGUUCUAAUUAGAUUUGGAGGUUGAAGCAACUUGAAGACCUUUGAAGAUCAAGAGCAGGAGCUUGAGGAAGAUGGAGAUUUGCUGACAACAAAUUUAUUCUUUACUCUACUCUUAUUUUUAUCAUUUUAUGUUAAUUCAAGUGUGGACUCUUUGUUUGAGAUUACAAUGGAUCUUAUUGUGUAGUUUAUUUUAAUAUGCUUCGUUAUCAAUUAUUAUGUUCUAUUGUGAGGAUUGUGUAUUGUGAUUUGGACUUAAUUGUUUAAUUGAUUGGCCAUUAAUUACCGUGAUAAUCUAUAUGAACUCGAGAGAUGAAGUAUUGAUUUAGAUCUUAUCAUGAUAGCAUGUGUUCAGGAUUUUGUUAAUAGCUUAAACUUGAUGAGUGUUAAGGUAGAGAUAUGCUUGACACCGCAUGUAAUCGGAUAGAGAACUUAUUCUUAAACCUUCUUCAAUUGUAAUUCACAUAGAGAUAUAGUGGGUUAGUUGAUUAAGGUGUUUAACGGAUUUCUAUCUUAAUUGUGGAUUGACGUUAAUACGGUAUUAGUGCAUCGAGAGGUGGUUAAUACUACUUUAGUGUUCUUGAUUAACAAUUCGGGAUAGAGAAUAAUUGAUGAGAAGUGUGUUAACUUAAAUGAAGCAAUAAGUGAAGUUGUGAUCUUAAAUCUCCAUAGUCUUAAUUUAAUUAGUGGAAUUUAAUAGUAGUUUAAUUUAUAUAAUUUGAAAUUCAUUCGUUUAAAUAAGAUUGAGUUGGUUACGGGUUAGUACUUGGUGAUUUUUAUUAAAUAAUUCUCUGUGGGAACGAUACUCAACUUAUCACUUUAUUACUUGUUGACCACGUAUACUUGCGUGUUGUGCGUAAUUAGAUUUUACCCAACAAGUUUUUGGCGCCGUUGCCGGGGAAUUAGUUUAAUAACUCUUUGCCAAUAUUAAUUUCAAUCAAAUUAGUCUUAAUUUAAACAUUUUUAUUUUUAUUUUUAAUUCUCUUCCUAUAUUUCUCUCUUUUCAGGUACCAUGGAUGACUUUGCGUAUCAAUGACCAUACACGAACAUGACUCAACCAAGGGAAACAGGGAUUGAUGGACUUAAUACAUCUUCUAUAGAGCCAAUACAAAUUGAGGUAACUUCGAAGACGUUGGAGGUUAUUCGAGCCCAACGAAGUCGAAGGAUGGCAAGAAUGACUCAGCCAAGGGGAGCGGAGAUUUACAGACUCGCGACACUUUCCGCAAUGUCAGCACAGAUUGAAGAACUUUCGAGGAAGUUGGACGUUUUUGUAGCCCAAAUAAGUCGAAGGAUUGCAGUUAUUUGUGACUAUUGUGCUGGCAAUCACCCGAGUAAUCAAUGAACCAUCAAUCUUGGGUCGGUACAGUAUGGUGGUAACUACCUCAAUCAGUAUGCAUAUGAUAAUUAUGAUCAAGUUUGGGGGUAUCACCCGGAUUCUUCAUGGAGCUACAACUAUCAAGACCAAUACUCUAUUCCAGAUCCAACAUACACGCCAGAUUUCUCAUAUCAACCUCCAUUAAAAGAAGAAAAGUCAAAGUUGGAGGAAUUGUUGUCCAAGUUCAUAGCAUCAAAUGAGGAGAGGAGGAUGAAUCAAGAGAUAUCACGUCACAAUCUGCAGAACCAGAUAGAUCAAAUGCUCAAAUCCUUGAAUAACUAUCCUCAAAAUAAUUGGUGUUAUGACGAGGAUUCCGAGAUUGAUGAAGUGCCCGAACCAAAUCUACAAUUGGAUGAGACACGAGAUGUUGAAAAAAAGGAGACAAAUGGGGAUAGUGACAACAAGGUCGGUGAAGAACUAACUAUGAGUACUAACAAGGAUGAGCCGAUGUUAUUAGUGCCCCAAUUUCCUUCUCCACCAAAGUUCAAGGAUCCGGUUAGAUUUGAAAAAUCAUGCCCACUUGGUAGCCAUGUCGUAGGCAAGGCUCUUUAUGACAUGAGAGCUAGUGCAACAAUGAAGCCAUGGUGGGAAGAGAAAGAGAAGAUAGACGAAGAGCCCAUUGUGUUUGACACACUUCCAUGCCCACAUAUGAUCACAAACACAAUGGAGAUAGCACCUAGGUAUGUGCCCUUCUUCAUGGAGAUUAUACCGAGUCAGAGCAUGCUAGGUGACUUUGAUGCUAUGGCCAUCGCUUUUGGGAACCUCCCAAAGGAUUAUUUGCUAAUGAUGGAUGGAGGGUUCCUCAAUUACCGAAGAGGAAUUGGAUAGCGUUGACCAGAUAAAGUCAGGCUGAAAGACUAUAAUUCAAGCGCUAACUAGGAGGCAACCCAGGAAUUUUUAUUUAUUUAUUUAUAUGCUUUCUUAGUUUAUUUAGUAGAUAGGAAUCCAAGUGUUAUUCUAAUCCAUGUUGUAUCUCUUCAUUUCAGGUAUUGGAGGUUCAAUGGAUAGGAAAAUGAUCGUCGCCGCCAACGCCACCAUCACCACAAUCUUAAAUGAUUACAGGGAAGUCCUCGUCCACUUCAUGCUUUAUUUUAUAAUGAGGACAUUGUAAUUGUUAAGUUUGGGGGAGUUAAAUAAUUUAGGUUUAUUUAUGUUUGCAUUCAUGUAGUGUAAUUGCAUAAUAGUUUGCAUAGUAGAGUAGUUGCAUAAUAGUUUUUAUUUAUAACAAAAAAAAUGAAAAAAAUAAAAUCAAAAAUAAUAGUUAGUUACUAUGUUCAUCUUGCAUGAUUCCAGCUGUUAGAUAGUUACAGUUUGUUUUGGCCAAUGAUGAGAUUGGAAUUGGGUAGACAAGUAUAGUAUUGACCAUUAGAGCUUUGAUGUGAUUUCUUGUUAUGAAUUGAGUCUUUUUCUGUUUGAAACUGGUAUAAUAAGGAUAACACAGUAAAAAUAACUUGUUGAUUGAUUGAGUUUAAAUUGAUACAUAAUGAGAUUCUAAAGGAUAAUGCUAGUUUGAAUGAAAGAAUGACAAGAACAAGUAGUGAUGGCUAAAGUUACACAAGAACCUAAGUUUGGGGGAAAAAGUGGGGUAUAUAAGCUAAAAAAAAAGAUAUCGAGUUGAAUAAAUUGAGUCUUGUGGUGGGUCGAGAAGAAGCGUGAAAUGCACUCCUCAUAAACACAGGCGUGAGAUGGAGCGUAAAAUGCACUCACUAUCCAAAAAGAAAAAAAAGAGAAUAAAUAAAACGGGAAAUAAGAGCAAAAAGCCCCCGUAGAUGAAAAAUAAAGCAUAAGUAUCCCAUGUUGACCCGCGAUAUUGGUAACUAUUUGAUUUUAGUUGGAUCUAGCUUAUUUUUGGAUUUCUUGAGUUUACACUGUAUGAUGCCUUAUAAGAGACUUGUUAUGUGUUAAAUUUGAUUUUAUGUCAGUUAACAUUGUUGUGGAGCACACACGCACUAUAUUCGUGAUAACAGUCUAAGAUUUGAUGAUUGAUUGAGAAGUUACUGAUGAGUUCUGAUAUGAUGUAUUAUCGUGUUUACUUGAUUUUUCUAAGGCCGGUUGAAUAGACUUGUUUCUGUCAUUACUGCUGGAUUCGUAGGCAUUUAGAUUAGUUGCAUUGCAUUGCAUUAUUAUUUUGUGUUUUUGCUUGAGGACAAGCAAAGGUUUAAGUUUGGGGGUAUUUGAUAAGUAAGUUUUAUACCUACUUAUCCGGUAUCUGUUACUUGAAUUAUUUGCUUAAUAUCAUGUUUUUUAGUUACUUUUCAUGCAUUUUGUGUUCGUUUUGUAGAUUAUAUGCUUGGGAGUUGAAAUCACAAAGAAUUGGUAUGAAAAUAUAAAGAAAAGCAAUCCGGACAUCGUUUGGGCUUUUAUGUUUAUUUCAUGUUCUUGGUUUGGAACUUGGAUUAUAUUGUAGAGCUUCUUCUUAGCUUUCCGGAACAUCUUGAAUCAUCAAAAUUGGAGUUCGGAUGCAAGAGUUAUGACAUUUGUACCAACGGACGUCGAACGUCACUGUUUUGGGUGGCCAUUUGCACAGCAGUAACUUCCAGCCCAAUUUCUACCUUCAUUCGUUCGUUAUUUCUAAAUUCUCAAAGAAUGAAAGUUGUAGAUCUCGUCGAUAUCUUCGAUUGGAUAGGUGGCAAGCCUCGUAACUCUUCCUGGAUCAAAGGCUAUGGCCGUUUUCCCAAGGGAUGUCAGAAUAAAAAAUUUUCCGUCACAAAACCGCCGCCGGGGUGGGCGUACCAGCCACAAGUCAGAACCCUAGCCCACCGGAGAGGGCCCAAAUCAAGCAUAAACCCCCGCCGGGGCGGGGGUAGCCCAGAAAAUGCGCGAAAAGUGCGAAUUUUGGUCCAAUUUGAGUCCGAAAAGGAUUGUUUCGAUCCGAUUGACACAAGGACUUCCAAGAGAACUUCCAAGAGGACUUAAAGACAUAUGAAGAGACUUAUAAAAGGAGGAGAAUCACAAGGAUUAGGAGAGAUUAGAGACUAGAUAGAGGAUUCCAUUAGAUUAGAUUAGAGUAAAUUACAUUAAAACACUUGUUCUAAUUAGAUUUGGAGAUUGAAGCAACUUGAAGACCAUUGAAGAUCAAGAGCAGGAGCUUGAGGAAGAUGGAGAUUUGCUGACAACAGAUUUAUUCUUUACCCUACUCUUAUUUUUAUCAUUUUAUGUUAUUUCAAGUGUGGAUUCUUAGUUUUAAUUCAAUGAACUAAUUCUUUAUUUGAGAUUACAAUGGAUCUUAUUGUGUAGUUUAUUUUAAUAUGCUUCGCUAUCAAUUAUUAUGUUCUAUUGUGAGGAUUGUCUAUUGUGAUUUGGACUUAAUUGCUUAAUUGCCUAGCUAACAAUUACCGUGAUAAUCUAUAUGAACUCGAGAGAUGAAGUAUAGAUUUAGAUCUGAUCAUGAUAGCAUGUGUUUGUGAUUUCUGCAUAGAUGGAAUUCAUGAUUCGUGUUUAGGAUAGAGAUAUGCCUUUACGCCAUAUGUAAUCUUAUAGAGAACUUGUGCUUUAAAUCCUUUUUAAUUGUAAUUCACAUAGAGAUAUAGUGGAUUAGUUAAUUAGGGUGUCUUGCUUAAUUCUAUCAUCUGUGGAUUUAAGUGAGUAUGGGUAUUAUGCAUCGAGAGGUGGUUUUAUCUGCUUUAGUGUUCUUGAUUAACAAUUCAGGAUAGAGAAUAAUUGAUGAGAAGUGUGUUAACUUAAAUGAAGCAAUAAGUGAAGUUGUGAUCUUAAAUCUCCGUAAUCUUAAUUUAACUAGUGGUAAUUAGAAUUAGUUUACUUAUAAAUUGAAAUUCCUUCGUUUAAAUAAGAUUGAGUUGGUUACGGGUUAGUACUUGGUGAUUUUUAUUAAACAAUUCCUCGUGGGAACGAUACUCUACUUUCACUUUAUUACUUGUUGACCACGUAUACUUGCGUGUUGUGUGUAAUUAGAUUUUACCCAACAAGUUUUCAAAAACUUGUUGGUGAAAAUCAAUACGCUUAAAAACACGUAAGUGCACGUGGUCAACAAGUAAUAUAGUAGUGAAUAAAGUAUCAGUCCCACGAGGACAAAAUAUAAAGAAUCUUAACUUCACAAUUAUCAAUUUUGUAUUAACCCUAAUUUUAUUAAACUAAUCAAUUCAAUGGUUUUAAAUUAUAUAUGAAAAACUAAAUUAAUAAAGAUAUAAACUAUCACAAAACAGUCACCAAUAAUGAAAUCCGGAAUUUCAAACAAUUAAUGGAGAAUUAGACUUAUGAUUUCACCCUGAGCUUCCCUCUGAUUUUCCAACCUUUAUUCCAACUCAAUUAAAUAUUCCAGUUUAUUAAUCAAGAACACGAACGUAGUAAAAGCCACCUCUCGAUGCACUAAUACCAUAUUAACAUCAAUCCACAAUUAAGAUAGAAAUCCAUUAAACACCUAAAUUAACCAACUCACUAUAUCUCUAUGUGAACUGCAAUAAAAAAAGGUUGAAGUUUAAGCUCUCCAUACGAUUACAUGCGAUGUUAAGCGUAUCUCUACCUUAACAAUAAUCACAAAUCUGCUAUCGACAAAAUUCAUGACACAUGCUAUAUUAACUAGGUCUAGAUUNNNNNNNNNNNNNNNNNNNNNNNNNNNNNNNNNNNNNNNNNNNNNNNNNNNNNNNNNNNNNNNNNNNNNNNNNNNNNNNNNNNNNNNNNNNNNNNNNNNNNNNNNNNNNNNNNNNNNNNNNNNNNNNNNNNNNNNNNNNNNNNNNNNNNNNNNNNNNNNNNNNNNNNNNNNNNNNNNNNNNNNNNNNNNNNNNNNNNNNNNNNNNNNNNNNNNNNNNNNNNNNNNNNNNNNNNNNNNNNNNNNNNNNNNNNNNNNNNNNNNNNNNNNNNNNNNNNNNNNNNNNNNNNNNNNNNNNNNNNNNNNNNNNNNNNNNNNNNNNNNNNNNNNNNNNNNNNNNNNNNNNNNNNNNNNNNNNNNNNNNNNNNNNNNNNNNNNNNNNNNNNNNNNNNNNNNNNNNNNNNNNNNNNNNNNNNNNNNNNNNNNNNNNNNNNNNNNNNNNNNNNNNNNNNNNNNNNNNNNNNNNNNNNNNNNNNNNNNNNNNNNNNNNNNNNNNNNNNNNNNNNNNNNNNNNNNNNNNNNNNNNNNNNNNNNNNNNNNNNNNNNNNNNNNNNNNNNNNNNNNNNNNNNNNNNNNNNNNNNNNNNNNNNNNNNNNNNNNNNNNNNNNNNNNNNNNNNNNNNNNNNNNNNNNNNNNNNNNNNNNNNNNNNNNNNNNNNNNNNNNNNNNNNNNNNNNNNNNNNNNNNNNNNNNNNNNNNNNNNNNNNNNNNNNNNNNNNNNNNNNNNNNNNNNNNNNNNNNNNNNNNNNNNNNNNNNNNNNNNNNNNNNNNNNNNNNNNNNNNNNNNNNNNNNNNNNNNNNNNNNNNNNNNNNNNNNNNNNNNNNNNNNNNNNNNNNNNNNNNNNNNNNNNNNNNNNNNNNNNNNNNNNNNNNNNNNNNNNNNNNNNNNNNNNNNNNNNNNNNNNNNNNNNNNNNNNNNNNNNNNNNNNNNNNNNNNNNNNNNNNNNNNNNNNNNNNNNNNNNNNNNNNNNNNNNNNNNNNNNNNNNNNNNNNNNNNNNNNNNNNNNNNNNNNNNNNNNNNNNNNNNNNNNNNNNNNNNNNNNNNNNNNNNNNNNNNNNNNNNNNNNNNNNNNNNNNNNNNNNNNNNNNNNNNNNNNNNNNNNNNNNNNNNNNNNNNNNNNNNNNNNNNNNNNNNNNNNNNNNNNNNNNNNNNNNNNNNNNNNNNNNNNNNNNNNNNNAGUUCUAAUAAUCCAUACUAUAUUGGUUAACUUGUUCACAAUCUCAUCACUGGCCCACAAAAAUAACAUGAAAAAUGCGACACCGUUGGACAUAUGCAAACACACUAUUUAACUAAUUUUUUUAUUUUAUUAUAUAUAUAUAUAUAUAUAUAUAUAUAUAUUUUAGAUAUAUGAAAACAAUGCAAAAUCCUAACUACUAUGCAAAUACCUAUUCUAUAAUGCAAAACUAGAUAUGACAACAAAAAUUUAAAAAUGCAUGUAUGCAACUAAACAAAUUACUCCCCCAAACUUAAAUAAGACAAUGCCCUCAUUGGAUAACAAUAAAGUGCAAUACGACUUCCCUGGAAUCGUCUAAGUCUGGGGCGGUGGUUGGUGCUCUUCCUCAUCGGAAUCACUAGGAGAAAAGCGAGGUAAUGGACCGGGUUAUUGAUAUGAAAAUUGAGCCGCCAGGUUGAAACUUUGAAGCGUUGUGUUGAAUGAGGCGAAAGAUGCGUUUAUGGCAUCAAACAUGUGAUCUUGGCGCAUCGCCAAUCGCCGCAUUUCCCGGCGUGCUGCCCUAUUAUGCGCAUUCAUCUGAUUUUGGAACUCAAGGAACUGAGUACUAGAAAAUGCCUCAGACUGCGGAACCUGCUCGGUUCCUUGAUCUCCCAUUGUUUCAUCCUCAUCCCCCGAGGUAUCUGCGACAUCGACUUCGUCUUCCGACGCCGAUGGAAAAAUAAAACCCAAACCCCAUGGAUGUGACUCUCCUCCACCCCACACUGAAUACCGCGCAAUCAUUCGUGAAUCAAGUAAAGCAAGCGGCGGUUGAGUUGGCUCAUCAUCAGAAUAAUGCACCCCGGCGUUGCGGCAUAACGCACAUAUAAGUGAAGGGUGUGGCAAACCACCCGAAAAAUUUCCACGUAAGCACCGGCGGAUGGAGAAACUGAUGAUGGCCCCGACGUCGAUAAUGAAAUCUUGCACAAUGGCGUAUAACAGUAACGCCUUCUCUUUGGUGACGUCUGAAGUGUGUUGGUAUGGAAGUAAUUUUGCACAUAAAAAUGCGUACCAUAUCUUUCCAUACCGGGUUAAGUCCUUACUAUUAAACACUGUUCCUCCCUUCCUACCUUUGGUCCAAGAUGUGCCCGGCUUUGUCAAAUUUUUAAUAACCUCCUCAUAAUUGGGUCAAAAUCCCUCAUUUGGGCAUACUGACAAUGGUGUGGCACCCGCAACUGAUAGUAAGCAUUGAUUGCAUCGUCACUAAAUGGAACCAUUUGACCCCGCACAAACGCUUUGAAAGGAGCUUUGUCUUCGGCGUUUGCAUAGAAUUCCUUAACAAUAUUAACCACGGUGGGUGUCAGAUGUUCAGUGAAUUUGAUCCACCCCUUUUGGUGAAUUUGGGACAUCAUCUCCCCGUCGUUCCCCUCGGGGGCCAAACCACACUCUGGCGUAAGUGCCUUAGAUUGCAUGUACUCAUAACGGUCGGCGGCGACGGCACUCACAAAUUUUUGGCGGUCAUAGGUGGUUGGCGGUGGAGCGGCGCUUGAACUCGCCCCCCGUUGGCGUUUGGGUGUCGGUUGAGAAACCAUUGAAUUUCAGCAGUGAAUUCUUGCUAUUAAACACUACCUUUCCCGAAAACUUGGUUUAGUCAAUCUGUCAAACACUUAGCGUGCACAGACCAUUCGGAUCCCCCAAACUUAGGUUGGUGCUAUGGAGUUGAGAAAAGAUGAAGACUUGACACUAUAGCAACUUACCCUCAAGUGUGUGUAUCCCAAUUUCUUGAAGAAUUCGAGUUUAAUGGUGUUGAAUAUGGGAAGUAUGAGGUAGGGUUUAUAUAGAGUGAUUUGGGGGAGAUGAAAUGGUGGACGGGAUUGAAGUCGUGUGGAAGUCGUGGGGUAGAAGGUGGGUUUAAUUGAUUUAGGUAGUGGUAGUAGUGGUAGUAGUUGUUUGGUAUCGUGGGUUGCGUUUAGGAGAUGAACCAAAGAUGGCACCAAGUUUGUAUAUGAGGGGGAUAUAACUGGGGCAUGCGGUCUAAAUAAACAUGUCUGCCCAGGAUUCAGGACCCCCGCCCCGGCGGGGGGUGCUAGGCCAAAAAGGCUCGCCUCGGCGGGCAUGCCCACUGUUAAAAUUUUUGGCCAAAAAUUUUUUGAGAUGCAAAAUUCUCUGAUUUUUCUCCAUUUUGUAGUCGUUGUUGCUCUGACUCACGUUGGACCUCUCUUGAAACCAAAAACAUGCAAUAUGUUAGAUUAAUGACGACUUGGAGUUUCAAUGAGAUUUUUAGUACUUUUCAGAGAUUUUUAGCAAAAAUUAUAAUUGACAAGACCUAACUACUGCUUCAUAAACUAUAUCCUAACAAAUUAAACAUGAACUAUGAAAAAUAAAGAAAAGUUGGGUUGCCUCCCAAUUAGUGGUUGAUUUUAAGUCGUUCAGCCUGACUACUCCCUGUUUUACUGUGUAUCGGCGAGGGUAAUGUUGUCGGCGUCCCAAUUCGACUCGCCACCCCAGUAAUGCUUUAUCCGUUGACCAUUGACCUUGAACAUUUCUAACGGAUUACGACUGUAGAGUUCAACGGCACCAUGAGGAAAUACUCAUUUUAUUGUAAAUGGUCCCAACCAUCUCGACUUAAGCUUUCUUGGAAAUAAUCGCAGCCGUGAGUUGAACAAGAGGACUGAUUGGUCCGGCUCAAAUGUUCGUUGAACAAUUUUCUGGUCGUGCCAUCUUUUAACCUUUUCUUUGUAUAGCUUGGUGUUCUCGUAGGCUGGGAGUCGAAAUUCGUCAAGCUCAUUUAGUUAAAGUAGCCUCUUUUCUCCUACCGCGGCUUGAUCAAAAUUCAAUUUUUGUAUUGCCCAAUAGGCCUUCUGCUGUAGCUCCACCGGUAAGUGACAUGCUUUUCCGUACAUGAGUUGAUAGGGUGACAUCCCGAUUGGUGUUUUGUAUGCAGUCCAAUACGCCCAUAAUGCGUCAUCCAACCGAAGUGACCAAUCUUUUCGACUCGGAUUUACGACUUUUUCCAAUAUCAUCUUAACUUCUCUGUUCGAUACCUCGGCUUGCCCAUUAUUUUGAGGCUGUAGCCACCUUGUGAUUGACCCCAUACUUAGCCAAAAGAGCUGUAAAUGACUUAUUAUAGAAGUGACUGCCUUCAUCACUAAUUAUUGCUCUUGGCGUGCCAAACCUCGUGAAAAUGUUUUUCUGUAGAAACUUGAGGACCACCUUGGCAUCAUUAGAUGGUAACGCUGCAGCUUCAACCCAUUUCGAGACGUAAUCCACCGAGAGCAGAAUAUUCUGAUUGCUCAAAGACGACGGGAAUGGUCCCAUGAAAUCGAUGCCCCAUACAUCAAAGAUUUCCACUUCAAGAAUUGUUUGUAGGGGCAUCUCACUUCGUUUCGAUAUGUUUCCCACCCUUUGGCAUCUAUCACAUGUUUUCACAAAUUGGUGGGCGUCUUUGAACACUAUAGGCUAAUAAAACCCAGAUUGAAGCACUUUUGCCGCGGUGCGCUCACUCCCGUAAUGUCCACCGUAUGCCGAUGAGUGGCAUUCUUGUAAUAUGUUGUGGACUUCACUGUAUGGGAUACAUCAUUGAAUCAUCUUAUCGGUGCAUUGUUUAAAUAGAUACAGCUCAUCCCACAUGUACCACUUGACGUCGUGAAGAAACUUCUUUUUCUUUUGUCGUGUAAGAUCCGGGGGAAGCAUCUUGCUUACCACAUAAUUCGCGAAAUCUGAAUACCACGAAAAUUCUGCAUUCAACCCAAAUAACUGCUCAUCCGCGAAUGUCUCGUUGAUCAUGCAUCUAUCUUCAUCCUUUUUCUCUGGAUUUUCCAGCCUUGAUAAAUGAUCGGCAACUUGAUUCUCCGUCCCCUUUCUAUCUUUAAUUUCUAAAUCAAACUCUUGAAGUAGGAGAAUCCAUCGGAUAAGGCAUGGCUUAGCAUCUUUUUUCGCUAUUAAGUACUGAAUCGCCGAAUGGUCCGUGUAGACUAUUACCUUAGUCCCGAUCAAGUAUGCCCGGAAUUUGUCGAACGCGUACACCACUGCAAGCAAUUCCUUUUCCGUAGUAGUGUAGUUCAUUUGAGUCUCUGCGAGUGUUUUACUUGCAUAGUAUAUGGCGUGAAACACCUUGUCUCGUCUUUGGCCCAAAACAGCCCCGACCGCAUAGUCGCUCGCAUCACACAUAAGUUUGAAUGGCGUUUUCCAGUCCGGUGCGACUAUCACGGGGGCUGUAGUUAAUUUCUUCUUCAAUAGGUUAAACGCGGACUUAUAUUCUGUAGUAAAGCUGAAAGUGGCAUCCUUCUCUAAAAGACUGAAUAGAGGUUUUUCAAUCUUAGAGAAGUCUUUUAUGAACCUCCUAUAGAACCCAUCAUGCCCCAGAAAACUUCUAAUGCCCUUAACUGAGCCCGGUGGAGGUAGUUUCUCGAUCGUGUCCAACUUUGCCUUGUCCACCUCCAAUCCUUGAGCCGACACCUUAUGUCCCAAAAUUAUGCCCUCUUCAACCAUGAAGUGGCAUUUUUCCCAAUUUAGUAUGAGGUUUGUAUCCUUACAUCACUGCAAUACCAUGACCAGAUUCUUUAAGCAAGUGUCAAAAUUGGCCCCAUAGACCGAGAAAUCGUCCAUGAAGACUUCAACGUUCUUCUCCACCAUAUCCGAAAAAAUAGCCAUCAUACACCGCUGGAAAGUUGCAGGUGCAUUGCACAGUCCGAAUGACAUUCUCCUGAAUGCAAAGGUACCGUAAAGGCAAGUGAAUGUUAUCUUUUCUUGAUCCUCAGGAGCGAUAGCAAUCUGAUUAUAUCCCGAAUAUCCAUCCAAUAAGUAGUAAAACUCAUGUCCCGCUAACCUGUCUAACAUUUCAUCGAUAAAAGGUAACGGGAAAUGAUCCUUUCGGGUUGCCUUAUUCAAUCUCCUAUAAUCGAUGCACACCCUCCAACCUGUCACUAUCCUUGUUGGAAUUAACUCAUUAUCCUCAUUCUGAAUUACCGUCAUUCCUCCUUUCUUAGGCACACAAUGAAUCAGACUCACCCAUUUACUGUCGGAAAUUGGAUAUAUGACACCGGCAUCCAAUAAUUUCAGAAUUUCCUUCUUGACCACUUCCUUCAUGAUUGGGUUAAGUCGACGUUGAUGCUCCACUGAUAGACUUGCAUCAUCCUCCAUCAGAAUCUUGUGCAUGCAAAAUGAUGGGCUAAUGCCUUUUAUAUCCGCAAUCGUCCAUCCAAUUGCUGAUUUGUGAUCCCUAAGCACCCUUAGCAACUUUUCUUCCUGCAAUUCGUUAAGUGCAGCAGAAAUAAUUACAGGUAAAGAAUUUAAAUCGCCUAAAUACGCAUACAUGAGAUGUUUAGGGAGUGGCUUAAGUUCCAAUGUCAGUGGCUCCACCAAUGAUGGUUUCAAUUUUUCUGCAACUGUCUCCUCGGUGUGCAGAGGUUCAACCGGUGCUCUGAAUCGGUUAACUCUUGGCAACGAGUCUAGCAUCUGUAAUAAGUCCACAAAUUCUGGGUCGUCUUUUUCUUCAUCCCCCAAUAAGGUUGUUUCUAACGGAUCAUUGAUCAAACUCUUGUUAAUAUCUUCACUGGUAAUUUGCUCAAUUAAAUCCAUUCGAUAACAUUCUUCCUCGUCCGUAGGAUAUUUCAUGGCCUUGAACACAUUGAAUUUUAUUUCUUGAUCUUGGACCCUCAUUGUAAGUUCUCGUUUUUGCACGUCUAUGAGUGUCCUUCCCGUGGCCAAGAAAGGUCUCCCUAGGAUGAUCGGGAUGUUCUUAUCUUCAUCGAAAUCCAGUAUGAUAAAAUCCGCAGGGAAUAUAAACUUAUCCACUUUUACCAAAAUGUCCUCUAUAAUGCCCCUCGAAUAUGUGAUUGACCUAUCCGCCAACUGCAAUGAAAUAUUCGUAGGCUUUGGCACGGGCAAACCCAAUUCUGAAUAUACUGAUAAUGGCAUCAGGUUUAUACUCGCCCCCAAAUCACAUAAGCACUUGUUAAACGAUAUCUUCCCGAUCGUACAUGGGAUAGUAAAGCUCCCCGGGUCCUUGAGUUUUUGUGGAAGCUUUUUCUGUAACACUUCACUACACUCCUCUGUUAGUGCCACUGUUUCAAAGUCUUCCCAUUUCUUCUUCCUCGACAGAAUUCCCUUCAUAAACUUCGCAUAACUCGACAUUUGUUCUAGGGCCUCUGCGAAUGGGAUGUUAAUCUGGAGUUUAUUGAACACAUUUAAAAACUUUGUGAACUGCUUAUCUGAUUUCUAUUUUUGGACCCUCUGCUGAAAUGGCGGUGGAGGAUAAACAAUCGGCUUGCUGUUUAACUUCUCAACAUAACUGCUUGACAUUGCUCAUGAUUACCCUUCGUAUUUCUUUCAGUGUCGCUAGGUAAUGUUCCUUGUGGUCUAUUAUUCAAUGCCAAUGCAAUUUAACCUAUCUGAUUCUCUAUAUUUUUGAUAGCAAUAGCUGGAUUCUUCAUAACCAAAUCGUUGCUCGUCAUGUACCUUGCCCAUGAUUCCUCCCCAUCGGAUUUCCUGUCCUACUAUUGAAUCUGUUGUGGAUGACUAUGAAAACCAGGGGGAUAUGAUGGUCGUGGAGCUUGAGUUUGUUGAUUAUUGCUCCAUGAAAGGUUUGGGUGGUUCCUAUUCCCCUGGUUGUAGGUGUUUUGGUAAGUAUUUUGCGGAAUUCUAUUUAGUUGCCUAUGAACUGAACGGAUGCUGGAUUUAUUGCACACUGCUCUGUCGGAUGAUCACCCACACACAAUUCACAUACUACCAUAACCUGCUGAACUUGUUGAACUUGAGCCCCUGCCAUCGUAUUUACCCUCUCAUUCAUCGUAUCAAACUUCAUGGAUAAUGCAGAAAGCUGUGCAUGUAUAGCUGUUACUCCAUCUAAUUCCAAGAUCCCAGCCGCCUUUGCCUGUGUCAUUCUUGCUGUGGUCCACUGGUAGUUAUUUGUCGACAUUAUUUCUAUCAAAUUAUAGGCUUCCUCGUAAAUCUUAGCCAUGAAUGCACCGCCCGAUGCCGCAUCAAUGCUAGUUCUGACAUUUUCAUGUAGCCCGUUAUAGAAGGUGUUCAUUUAUAACCACUUGGGCAAUCCAUGAUGUGGGCACUUUCUGAGUAAUUCCUAGUAUCUCUCCCAUGCCUCAUAUAGUGACUCCCCAUUCUGCUGCUCAAACAUUGUGAUGUCAUUCCUCAUUUUCGCAGUCUUCGUCGGUGGGAAAAAUUUGGCAAGAAAUUUUUGAGCCAAAUCAUCCCACGUAGUGAUCGAACCCGACGGUAAAGAAUGUAACCAACUCUUCGCCUUGUCCCGUAAAGUGAAUGGGAAUAAGCGAAGUCUCACUGCCACAUCCGACACCCCAUUGUACUUGAACGUGUCGCACAUUUCCAGAAAACUGAUCAAAUGCUCAUUCGGAUCGUUGUUUUCCAUUCCCCCAAACUGACAUAAGUUCUGCAUCAUCUAAAUGGUCCCAGGCUUUAUCUCAAAAGUGUUCGCAGCAAUUGCAGGCCUAGUAAUGCUCGACUGCAGAUCAGUCACCCUAGGUGCGGCAAAAUCCCUCAACGCUUUCUGGUCUUCGACAGCCAUCGUUUCUUCCUUAUCAGAAUUUUUGAAUUCAUUCCUCGUUUCCUCAAUCCACUUACUCAACUUUUUAAAUCGUCUGUCAAUGUCGUCCUCAAAAGGAAGCAAGUCUGGAUGUUUAGAUCAUGUUUGCAUAAACCAAUGUCGAAAACCUGAAAUAGAGAAAACAAAAUAAAAAUGUUUAAGUAAAACUGGACUAAUUAAACUAAUAUUGUAAAAACAAAUAUUAAAAUCUCGGCUAAAUUGUCCCCGGCAACGGCGCCAAAAACUUGUUGGUGAAAAUCAAUACGCUUAAAAACACGCAAGUGCACGUGGUCAACAAGUAAUAUAGUAGUGAAUAAAGUAUCGUUCCCACGAGGACAAAAUAUCAAGAAUCUUAACUUCACAAUUAUCAAUUUUGUAUUAACCCUAAUUUUAUUAAACUAAUCAAUUCAAUGGUUUUAAAUUAUAUAAAAAAAACUAAAUUAAUAAAGAAAUAAACUAUCACAAAACAGUCCCCAAUAACGAAAUCCGGAAUUUCAAACAAUUAAUGGAGAAUUAGACUUAUGAUUUCACCUUGAGCUUCCCUCAGAUUUUCCAACCUUUAUUCCAACUCAAUUCAAUAUUCCAGUUUAUUAAUCAAGAACACGAAUGUAGUAAAAGCCACCUCUCGAUGCACUAAUACCAUAUUAACAUCAAUCCACAAUUAAGAUAAAAAUCCGUUAAACACCUAAAUUAACCAACUCACUAUAUCUCUAUGUGAACUACAAUCAAAAAAGGUUGAAGUUUAAGCUCUACAUACAAUUACAUGCGAUGUCAAGCGUAUCUCUACCUUAACAAUAAUCACAAAUCUGCUAUCGACAAAAUUCAUGACACAUGCUAUAUUAACUAGGUCUAGAUUCGAAUCUCCUCUCUCGAUUCCUUUCAAAUCCACAAAGAACUGUUGAUCAGACAAUUCAUAAAUUCACGCUCAAAUUAACAUAGAUAAACUAAAAAUAUCUUAUUGAAUUGGAAAUCAAAGUUAUAGAAUCAUCGUUUCACCCAAGGAUCCAUCACAAGUCUAAUAAGUAAAUUAGUUCAUAAUGAAUAAAUUAAAAACUAAAUAAUUUGUGGAAAACAUCCUUCCAAUUACAAAUAGAUGAAAGAGAAGAAGAAUUAUGGAAAACCCCUUCACGUAGCCUCGAUUUGCAACCGUUGUGAUAAUCUCUGAAAAUUACUCCUCCAACGUUCGCUCUUCAAUCCUUGAAAUCGCUCUUGAAUUAUGCCUUUGUGUGUUGUAAGAUUGUUGUUUUUCUACGUAAUUGCAAGCUCUCUUUCUCCUCUGGACGAAAAUCCUUUUUAUUAGAGUCCAAACGCAUCAUUCAAGUCCAACAAACCGAGCUCUAGCAGAAGUUGAAACUAAACAGGACAGUUCAGGAAACGGGACCCCCGCCCCGGCGGGCUAGGCUACUGACUUCAAGUUUUUCUUACUCCAACUUUUUUCUACUUUUUCUCCAAAAAGACCGUCUUUCCUCACCAAUAGCAUCCAUGAUCACCCUACACAUAAAAUAACAUGAAACGAGUAAAAACGAACACAAAACAUGAAAAUAACUACGAAUUUAAACUUGAAAUGAAUAUCGAUUCGUUAAUAUAAAAUCCACUUAUCAGGAAUCACGCGUAUUACUAUACUUUUACUACCGAGUAGUUCAACAGUAUUAAUGGUAAAACUUCCGCCGUUAUUUUCAAUAAAAUAUUUUUGUCGUUUUCUUAAUUCGACAAUAAUUCUGUUGUGGGGUCCACCAAUGAUUGUGUCGUCGUACGGAUAUUUCCUGUUUAAAACAAAUAUUCCCCGACUAAUCGAAUAUUAUAUAACAACUUGCGUACUUUGCAAAAUUUAUAAAUAUUACCCACAACUAUAACAUUAUAUCAAUUUCACUCCAUAAUAUUCAAAAAUAAUAUUUAUAGAAAAUUCAUGUUUAUUCAAAAAGUUGGGGUCUUACAACAAAGUUAUUCAUAUUAUUAUUUGCAAUAUUGACAAUGUCUAGAAGUUCUGUCAAGGAGAGGUUUGGUCACCUAAUUGCGCGCCAAUAAGGAGAAAUCCUUAUCGGAAAGCCCCCUCUUUCCUGGGAACGACCUGGUUGUUAAAUAUUGUGAGUUAUAAUAUUAAUGAUGAAUAAGUUCGUGUUGAUUAAAGAUGAAAUUGAUAGUUCCAUUGUGUUGGAAGUAUUAGUUUUAGUGGAAAUUGACAUUUAUUUCGAUAAUAAUUGAUGUCUAGAGGUUAUAUUGACCAAUCGGAUAAUUAACCGGAUAAAUGAGCAAUUAAUUGCUAUUAAUUCACAUGCUUAUAACUAUUUGUUCACAUGUGUGUACUAUUGAUUCACAUGAUUUACUAUUAGGGGAAUUGGUGCAAGAUUAAUAAUAUUUGCAUGACUAAGUUAAAAAUGGAGGUAUAGAUAGAGGUACUAUACUGUAAUUCAUUUUUUCACAUGUCUACAACUAUUGAUUCACAUGAUUUACUAUUAGGGGAGGUGCUGCAAGUUUGAUAAUACUUGUAGGACCAAAUUAAAAAUGAAGGAAAAGAGGAAGGUAUUAUACUGUAAUAUUUCGAGCCCCAAAACGUGCAAUUAUUGAAACUAUAUUUUCCUAUAAAUAGAAGCUCAUUCCUUCAUUAUUUUCACCAAUUCACUAAAGCUAUAGAGCAAUUAUUAUAGAGAGAAAGAAGAAGAGAAGUCUGCUACCUCACUAUUCCUAUAUCCAGUUUCCUCUAAGGUAAGGGAUAUUAUUUGUUGUACUCGUAAGGGGUAUUAUUCUUUCGUAUUCAUGAAGAUAGUUAUUUUCUUUCAAUACUCGUAAGGGUUAUUAUUCCAUUCUUUAUCAUUAUGUUGGAAUAACCUGUCUAUGCGAAGUACCGCAUACAUGGUGAAAUUCUUCUGUUAUUCCAUUCUUUAUUAUUCUGUUGGAACAUCCUGUCUGUGCGGUUNNNNNNNNNNNNNNNNNNNNNNNNNNNNNNNNNNNNNNNNNNNNNNNNNNNNNNNNNNNNNNNNNNNNNNNNNNNNNNNNNNNNNNNNNNNNNNNNNNNNNNNNNNNNNNNNNNNNNNNNNNNNNNNNNNNNNNNNNNNNNNNNNNNNNNNNNNNNNNNNNNNNNNNNNNNNNNNNNNNNNNNNNNNNNNNNNNNNNNNNNNNNNNNNNNNNNNNNNNNNNNNNNNNNNNNNNNNNNNNNNNNNNNNNNNNNNNNNNNNNNNNNNNNNNNNNNNNNNNNNNNNNNNNNNNNNNNNNNNNNNNNNNNNNNNNNNNNNNNNNNNNNNNNNNNNNNNNNNNNNNNNNNNNNNNNNNNNNNNNNNNNNNNNNNNNNNNNNNNNNNNNNNNNNNNNNNNNNNNNNNNNNNNNNNNNNNNNNNNNNNNNNNNNNNNNNNNNNNCGUAGUGCAGGGAUGAUGUGGUUUAUUUAUUAAGCUGAGUCUCAGCGAUAAAAGUGAUGAAAAACCUUUUAAAUCAUAGAAGAUAGUAGAUUUUAUUCUCUACUUGACUCUUCUAAUGGAUUACUUGUUCCGCUGCAGUUAAACUUGAUGUUUAUUAUAUUUUAUCAGUUUAACACUGUUGAAGACUAAUGAUAAAUUAUUCUGCAUUAUCUUAGUCAUAAUAUUUCUUACUGGGCUAGUUGAGCUCACCCUUUUGCUUUCAUUAUUCUCUUCAGGAAAAGAGAACGUAGCGGGGACUAGUCGGGGAACGGAGUGACGGUUCAGAUGAUAGCAUUAGUAGUCCUCACUAUUCUAUGAAAUAGUAUGAAAAUAAAUGUAUUGAGGACUUAUUUUGAGUUUGAAUACUGUUUAGAAGACAAUGUUAUAUUAAAACUCACAGCUUAUGUUUUGUCGUAUUUUACACGACAGUUGUAUAAUUAAGUUUUUAUUUGUAUUUUGUACCAUAUAUUUGACGACUCAGAAUAUGUGAUGUAUACAUAUUUUGGGGGCGUCACAAUGUACCCCAUUAAUUAAUCUCUCCAUGGUUAUGCGCAAAGCAUAGCUCAUUUUAUUCAUCUUCCUUCUCUUGCAUCUCACCUCAUCCUCUAAGUCAUUAGCCCGAUCAUUAGUUUCUUCCCACUUCGUUGAAGAAACAACAAGAUCUUUCUUUUGUCCCUUCGAGGCGAUUGGAAAAGAAAGAAAUGGUUAAUAUAUUCAAGAUAAUUACGUAUUUACAAAAUACCGUCUCAAUUCAUCCUAUUUCAUCAUAUCCGGGAUGUGAUAUGGUUCCGAAGGAUGAACCGGAUAUGGAUAGUUCCAAUAAGAUUUCAUUCUUGAACAAAAAUCCAUUUUUUGAUUUAUUUCAUCUAUUCCAUGACCGGAACAGGGGAGGAUACACGUUACACCACGAUUUUGAAUCAGAAGACUCGGUGAAUGUCUUAGUAGAAGAUAUGAUUUCUUGAAACUUCAGUUUAUUAGUUUUUAGGUAAGUACGUAACUCAACAAGAAAUUUCCUUACCUGUCCAAUUUCUAAUAAAUCAAGAUAAACAUUUGUUCCGGUAUAAAUAGUCAUUAUCUGUUCUUCCACCGUGAGAGGGGCUGAUUGGGAUAAGUGAAUCCUAUCCAUCACCUCCAUCUCUAACUGAGUACGAAGUGCUUCCUUCUAUGUCCUUUCACUCAACUCUCUAUGUUCCACCUCGUCCAACUUUCCUACUAGCUCUACAUUUCUAGCCACUGACCUGUGAAACAAGGUUCCCAUCUGGAUCCCUGCCUCCUUUCGGUGAGCGAUCUGCACCUCCAUCUCCUGCAUCACUAACUUCCUCUAAUGGUUCUCAUCCCUCAAUUUCUGGAACUCGGACUCCCUCUCUUUAGCUUCAGCCUCUAACUCCUCCACUCUACAUCCUAACUCUAGAAUCUGCUCCUCAUACUCCCCCAACAUCUGAUCCUCGGAAAUAGCCUUGUUGGAGUCCUCCAUGGGCUCAGGCUCCUCCUCUAGAUCAGAUUCCUCGAGUAAUGGCUCCAUAUCCUCCUCCUCAUCAUCAUCAUCAAUAGGGGCCACUACUAUUAUGGGCUCUGCUAUUGAAGGUGCCUCAAAGACCACGUGUAUGUCACGCGGCUCCUCAUCUACCACUCGGCUAGGUCCUCCCAUGUCAGUCAUCAUACAAUCACCAAUCAUAAGCCAAAACAAACAACAACUCCAUUAGGAUGUUAAAAAAACAUAAAUUCAUCGUAUAUAAUGAAAUUAUAUUCCCUAACACACUAAGUCUCUCUCUAGUAAAACUCUAUAUGAGUUUCAUCCCUCCGUAUCUUCUAAGUUCUCCUAAGUUAUAAUCUAAGGACUCUCGUUCCUAAGGUUUAUAAUUAUCACUUUGAUACCAACCUGUGAUGCCCCCAAAUUCAGAUCACACUCGUCUCAAAUUUGGUUGUCACGUACUAAUUCUAAUAAUAAAUCAAAAUCUCACACAAUGGAAUAGUAGAAUAAAAUACAUUAAUAUAAUAUAAUUAUUCUCGUCCCAAGAGUUCGUAACUUAAACAUCUCUUACAAUACCUCCAGCAUAAUUAAACAUAAUUUAGAUAUAACUAAUACAUAUAAUAACUUAAGACAUUACAUGAAUAUAAUAAUCUCCACUAAACAUAAACUACUCAAUAGCCUUGCCUUUUCCCUUAUCAAAUCCUGAGGGGCCGCCUUGAUGUGCCUUAACUGAAAUAUUUUUAGGGAAAGCAAGAAUUAGCAACAAAUUUGCCCAGCAAGUAAUAUAGCAAUAAGGGUACUCAAUGUAGUUUAAUAUUUCUCAAGGUACAAUAAUAAGGAUAGUUCAAGAUAACAAGAAGUAUCAAUGAUUAUCAACAAUAGUCGUUAUGGACAGAAAAUAUCAAUAAUAUUUAAUGAUUAAUCAAUUCAAGAUUUCAAAGUAAUGAAUACUGAGCAGUCACUAAGGACUAGAACUUCUCCUAGAAUUUACAGUAAUAAACGGAUAAUUCCAUAAAAUGAGUACAACAGGUGAUCAGCCUAAAGUACCUUAUGUCAAUGCAUUACAUUUAAUCUUUCUUAAGUGUGCACGUCGGUUUCCCGACAAUAUAUAAUUCCCCUACCAAGAGGGUUGUUCAUCUUAGUUAUAAGAGUUCGCACCAAGUAAAUUUGGUUUGGAUAGCUUUCGAUCAAUAUCAAUAGUCUAGCUGAAGCAAUAGCUUAGACAGUUUUCUUUCACAGUACAUAUAUGAACAAUUAUCAUUCAAAAUCAAGGUUUGUAAACAAUUUCAUUUCUAGAUUACGAAGUAUUAAACUUUCAAAGUUCUACUUGUACGAUCAAUAAUAGUACAAGUUCAAGUAAUGUUCCAAAAAGAGUAAGGUUCGAGUACUUGCAUUCAAUAUAUGAAUCAAAUAAAAUUCGAUAACUUGCACAAAUCCAAAUUUGUGUAAGUUAGGAAAAUUGCUCAAUGUAAAAGAGUUCAGAUACUUGCCUUACACGUAGUUUACCAAAGUAAAGCUUAACACCCUUCCAAAGAAUUAUAAUAUCCUAUUCAUGUAUAAUCACAUUAGUUAUACAAGUUCAACAUGUAUACCUAUUAUCUUAAAUUGGUUAUGAUACACAAAUGAAAUUCAUUGAUACUAACAUAUAUUGUUAGUCUUCUCUUAGUCUUAUGAUCUCUUAUGCAUGUUACCACAUAGCAUGAGAAUCAGUUCUAAUACACUAUGACAUUUAAAUGGCAUAGUUUGAAAUCACAUUUUGACUUUAAAGUUGUAAACACUAAUUCAUUAUAGGAUCCUUUCAAUAACAUGCUUAUUAACACAUGAAUACUAUACUAGACAUGUAUUAUAGAUUGGGGUAACAAUAUAAACAUGCACCAUUUGUAACGCCCGAGACAAACAAAUCUUUAAUGAUUUAAAUUUUUAUUUGAUUAUGUGGAUUAAAUGAAUUUAAUUGAUUAUUUAUGUGAGUAAACAAUUUGAAGGUCGUUCUAUGACCUAGAAUGUGAGGAUGUGGUUAGUAUUCUGGCUAUGUGCUAGGAUUAAUUGUUUUGAAUUUCUAAGACGAAAAUAAAUGUUUUCCGAGAAAAUUUCCGUAAGAACACUAUUCAUCCAUUUCUUCUCAGGAAUUGAGUUUGAAUUUUUGAGAAAUGCGUAAUGAUAGAAUACGAAGACAAGAUGGAAUAUCCAAUAAUAUUUCAGUUAUGGCAAACGAAGUUUUCGCCUGCGGACUUAAAACCUAAGGGUUAGUAAAAGUGAUUUCCGUGAAGAAAAUGCAAUGCGUAUAAUGAUUAGGAUUAUUAUACGUACGAUAUACGAGUAUGAUACUAGUUAGAAUAUGAGUAUAGUAUGAAGAAUAUUCUGAGGUAUAAUACGAAUAUUGUAUGAAUACUAAAUGAAGGGAAUACGUGAGUUAUACACGUAGAAUGCAAUUAAUUCUUAAUGGAAUUUGAGUUUAAAGACUUAGUAUAAUCCAAUUGGACUUGGAUUUUAUCAAGCCCAAUGAAUUGUGUAAUCAAACCCAAGUUUAGGCCCAAUGUUAUAUUUAAUUAAGCCCGAUCCAAGAAACCAAAUCGCGGAUCGAACCAGCGGGUCACCGGAUGGGUAAAACCCAUAGGGCAACCCAUAGGGAGACCCAUAGGCAUAUGGGCCAGCCACUUGGCCACCAAGUAAAGUGAUUACUUGGUGGCUAAGUUGUUGUGGAGGUGGGAAUAGUAAGGGGUCACCAAAUGACCAUUAUGCCCUCCAUUUAAGUUUCCUAUAAAUAGAAGCUUAGGUUGGGAAUUUUGUGUUUUACAAACUUUGUCCAACAUAUAUUGAGAGAGAGAAAGAGCUAAAAACAAGUAAUCAAGCUACUUUGAAGCAAAACAUAAGAAGUUUUAUCAAGAACGUGAAGAACGAAAAGGUAAUAUUUUGUAAACGUUAGCUUUCCAUCUUUUCGAUUUCUUUCUCAUAGAGAAUCGUAGAUUGGUGGAGCAUGUCUCUUUAGGAGGAAUAAGGAUGGCUAUUAAUGAUUAAAACAAUAUUGAUAAGUCAUAUUUAAGUAGAAACCAUAAGGGUUUACUUUAAACCAUAGAAAUCAUUGAACGUUAACUUGGUUGUUGAUGGACAAAUUGAAAACCAUCAUUGAUAGGGUAUGUGCCUCUUACUUGGUUGGGAUGUAGAUGAGGAAUCAAUGGAGUUGUUCCAUUUGAUUUGGCAUAUAGAACAUGAGUAAUGAAGUUAUGGCGAAUUUUACGGAAUUAGACGUUAAACGUCAAAAACGUAGAAAUCUCAGAUUGAUAGUCAAAGGUUGUCGUGUGGCUUGGAAACUUUGGUUUUUGAUGCCAACACAUGAGAUAGGGUAUUCAAGAGUUGUGGACUCAAGAAUCGUCGAAUUCUGACUUAGAACGAAGAAAACGAUUAUUGAACGCUUGCGAACGAUAAACGAAUGCUCGAUAAUGAACUUAAAAGUGAAUUCCGAGUUAACGGAUUCAAAAAGAUAAAAUUCUUGCAUGAACACUUAGAGUAUGUAAUUUGUGAGUUGUUGGCUUUUGAAUGAGCCAAUUUGGACGUAAAACGAAUAAGUUAUGAAGUCGGGAAGUUCGUAGAAAAAGUUAACACUCAAAGCCAACUGAGUCUCAAGGGUGGCGCCGCAGCACCAACCCCAGUGUUAUUGGUCAUGCCACAGCGCUGGCUCCGGGCUUCAUCUACUGUUAGUUGGCACCACAACGCCAAUGGUGUGCUAGAGUCUGGCGCCGCAACGCCAGUAGUGGGAAAUGGUUGACCAAGUUAGGUUUUGUACUUUUAUUUGAUUGUAAACCGAUAGUAGGACAUGAGUGUACUUAAUGUGCAUGAUAAGGCUAACUUUAAAUCACUUAUAAAGUGAUAACGUUAGAAGGUUAAGUAUGGUUUAAUAGGAAUUAAACGAGGAUUGCAAAAGUGUAAAUAAGUAAACCGUGAACGGUAUUCAACGUUGGUACUUCACCAAUGAUGAUCGAGUCUCGGUUAGUAACGUAAGAACGUUAACAAUCCGUGAUGAAGGGUAAUAAGUCGAAUUGAUCUUAUUAAUGAAAUAAAUUCAAUUAAAACGUAAAAGAGAAAGAAGUUGGUAAUAAACAAUGUGAUUAGAUUUUUUGGUAACUAAUUACAGUGUUCUAUGUGAAUAUAUCAUGUAGAUACUGUAAAGACUGAGAACUGUUGAAUAUUAUAUUCGAAGACACUUGAAGGCAAGUUUUCUUAUCGCUUGUCUAACCUUCGUGUUAGCCAAGUUUUCAGUGAUUCAUGUUAUAAGAUGCAUGAAUUGUUUUACGAAAAGGGUCGAUGCCAGUUUUAACUCGGCUAGACUAUUAUUAAGAGUUAGAUUGAUUUUUUACAAGUCUUUCGAUAUAGAACUAUUAACGCUAUCCUACGCCAAGUAUUUGGUACGGAUUCAAGGUAAGGUUGUAUAUGAACCAACAAAUGUAUUUUCAUCGAUUAUUCGAUGGGCACACGAGGUUGCCAAAACUUAAACGUAAAUACGUUUAACGGAUGAGUAUUGAUCAACAUAGAGUACUAUAGGUUGAUCACCUAGAAGUGCUCAUAAGUAAUACCGGAUGUACGGCCUUAGUGCCAGGAUGUCCUUUUCAUGAAUGAAAACGAAAAAAGUAUGUUCAUAGUCUUUUGAUCGGUUCAGAAUUCCUAAGCUAUUAUAUAUACUUUAGAAUCGUUGUUAUGAAAUGAGAGGUAUUAGUCAAUGUUUCACAGUACUUCAUAGCUAUUUGUUCAGUUAUGGAAGAUAAUGUAAUAACCCGAUAUUUUCUAUAUAAAUAAAUAAGAAAUUUUGCAUAUAAUUUAUUAUUAUUAUUAUUAUUUUAAUGAUGGGAAUAUGUGCCAGGUAAUGUAUAUAUAUAUAUAUAUAUAUAUAUAUAUGUGUGUGUGUGUGUGUGUGUGUGUGUGUGUGUGUGUGUGUGUGUGNNNNNNNNNNNNNNNNNNNNNNNNNNNNNNNNNNNNNNNNNNNNNNNNNNNNNNNNNNNNNNNNNNNNNNNNNNNNNNNNNNNNNNNNNNNNNNNNNNNNAAGAUAAAUCAGAUAAUGAAUCCAAACCCUAAUUUUGGAUUUUGAGCAAUGAAUGAGAAUAAUAAUAUUAUAUUAAAUAUAAUAUUAUUUUUCAGUGGUAUAAAUAUAUACUGUAUGUGUGUAUUGAUAAUGGUUGGUCAAUUAUGGUGUAUAAUGUCAAAACCCUUAUAUCAAUUUAUUAAACCCUAUUUUGAAACUAAAUUAUGAGUUCGAGAUAGUUAUGUAAUUGUGUUACUAUAAUUAAGGUUAAGUAUUAUGGAAUUUAAUGAUAAUUAGGGAAACCCUAAUUAUUAUUUAUAAACCCUAAUUAUCAAAUUUGAAACCCUAAUUUGCUAAUUAGGAACCAUAAUGGCUAAGUUAGAAACCCUAUUUAUUAUUUUAGUAAAUUGUAAUGUUAAUUAGGAAACCCUAAUUCAUAAUUUGGGGAAACCUAAUCAUAUCAAGAAACCCUAAUUAUUUAAAACCCUAAAUUUUAUUAAAAAAACCUCAUUAUAAUUAGUGUGUUCUAAUUAAAAUUUUAUUAAACUUUAAACUUAAUUUUUCAAAACCUUGAAAUUAUUUGGAAAAUCUUAAGGUUUAAAAUCUAGUGAUUAAACCCUAGAUUCAAGUACCAUGGACAAGAAUACCAUUAAAAUUACAAGGCAAUUGACCAAAGUACCCUUUUUGUCACUUUCUUGGAUUUGUUGCUUGCAAAUCUUGCCAUAUCUUGGCAAGUCACCAACCCUAGAUAUGCCCAUGUGCCAAAAUCUUUGCAAAUCAGUCAAAUAAAUCAUCCAAAUACAUUGCAUACAAGGGAUAUAUAAGAUUAGAGAAAGAGAGAAUGUCCAAAAUCUAGCUCAUUUAUUUCCAAACACAUAACCAAGACUCUCUCUCUCCUCACCCACGAAAAACAUUAGUAUUUCAGUCCCACAUCAAGCUCCUAGAUCACCCAAAACAGAUCAAGAAGCCAGAUUUAAGAUUUUGUUAAUAGAAAGAAAUAACCCUAAGCCAAUAUUUUAAUCAUGUAUGAUGUGUUAGAUCUAGUGUUUUUAUGUUGUAAUAUGUUGUAUGAGGUGUUAAUCAAUGAUCUGGGUUGCUAGAUGUUAGAUCCAUAAUAUCUAGAGGCUCGGAUAUGAUAAUUUUCUAAAUAUGGAAAUUUUUGAAAAUGAGGGUCUGACAAUGAAUGUCAGGUCCCAUAGAUCCCAGUAUGUUAUGUGUUUUAGUGUUUUAAAGGUUUGGAGUUGCAGCUGGUAAUGUUGUUAGUAUUCCGAAAGUGGAAGCAAGAUCAUUGAAUGUGUAUAUCAAAAGUUAUUCACGGUCAAAGUUCGUUGACCGAACACGAAUUUAGUUUUCUGGGUAACCCAGAAAACUGAAGAACGUUUUCUGUUAGUGACUUUGACCGGCUUUGAUCUAAUUUAUGUCAAGCUGUUAGGAUGAAUAAUGGUAUCUAGAUUAUAGUAUGACAUAAUGACUACAAGUCCAGCACACUCUCGAACC
rnacentral:lncRNA from 1 species